UAGCUGCAGUUUUAUGAGUUUUCCCAUGAUUGCUCGCAAAUUUUUAUGUUGACUAAAAUUGUAAAUUGUUUAAACUGUUCAAACAGAUUACUUAGCAAUUAAACGUUCAGCAAAAUUGUAAUUCACUUUAAAUUUAGCACAGAGGUUUGAUGCUCUUUCUGAGGAAAACAACUGAACAUAACACUGAAAUAUGUAAAUUUAGUAUUUUGCAUGAACUGUGUUCAGGAGAACAGAUAUUCCCAGCUCUGUGGGCAUAGGCAAGCUUUUCAUUAGUGCAAAUUAAUAUUAUAGAAAAGGAUCAUUGGAGAGAUUUCCUGCAUUUGAUUCUCAAUCACAUUUAAUUCUUAAAGCAUAAUGUUUAAAAUCUUUUGUUUUAUUCUUAAUUUCUAGCACUGCUUGUUUCAGUAUUUAAACUCACAUUCAUGUAAUAUUGAUUUUAAUUACAUAGUACUGGAAAGAAUAAGUUGGACAUUAAUACCAAAAUAGCAUAUAAUUCAGUAUUUUCACUUGCAAUCGAUAGUGUUAGUAAUCAUGUUCUCAUGAAUUACAUUGUUUUAAUUGAUAUCUAGAGUUUAUUUGUUAACUAAAGGUUGGCAUUCAUGUGUGUAUGUGCCUGUACACUACAAGUAGUAAUAUGAUGAAUAUUUAGUCAUUAUGUAUUAAAAUAAGUUUUAUAUACACUGCUUACUCAGGUUUUAUUUCAGCAGUUGUUGCCUUUCUGGGGGGAAAAAAACACUAUUAUUGAGUUCUUUGCCACUUGAUUAGACAGAGUCCUCCAGUACCAUGGCAUUUUGGUUGUACUUUAAUUUUUGGCCAAAUAUAUCGCACUCCAUCUUGAUUAUUUAUUUCAUUGAUGAGUCUUGGCUUUCAGUAUCUUGAGUGAAAGAUUUUGUAUCAUAACAGAGAGUGGAAAGAACAUUCUGUAUAUACACAUCAUCUUUCUCUACAUUUUUAAAGUUAUCAAAUAAAAGUAUUCCUAUGAACAUAACCUGAGCACAAAGCACAUUUUAUCAUAAAAUAGAAUUAAAUUUCAUGAUUGAGUUCUGAAUUUGAUCUGCUUUGUGUUAUUCUUGGUCUUAUUGCUACAGCCUAUCUUUCUAUUGUAGUUUUGGUAUUCUUGUGCUAAUUUAGUGUACUCUUCUGCUUUCGAGGUUGCUGAUUAGAUUGUAUUCUGUUACUGCUUGAAUUCACCUGUGAUUUUUGUUAUUAUCAUUUUUUCUUAGAUUUUUCCAAUAAACAAAAUUUUAGUCCCAUUAUUCCCUUUCCCCCAUCUUUUCCAAUUGUUGAAUUCUUCAUUCUUUCUGGCUUGCAUUCUUGUAGGUUUGCUUAAUGGAUCUGAACUUCUAACCUCUUUCUCUUAAAAUUCAUGUUUGGCUUACCAUCUUGACAUUUCUUUCUUUAUUUAAAUUAUUUUUAUGUAUAAGAGCAGUUCAAAAAGUAUAAUAUACAUGUAUAUAUUUUUACUGUGAUGAAGCAAAAUCCAAAACCAAUUUAUCAUUUUUGUUUGAAGAAUGCAUAAAUUCAGUCCAUUUUACCUACUGAAAUUGUUGAUCAUUUACAUCAGCAUCUAGAAUGGAAGACCAGCAUGCUAGAAGUUUCUCUGAUGAGUAUGGUUUUUACUGAUUGUCAGAUGACUCAGCUCAUCUUCACUGAUUUACUCUAUCACUACAGAAAAGUUUUUAUGUAUAAUAUGUCAGUUUAUAUUUUUAGAACAGGAUAGUUAGAACCCUAUUUAUAGGUUUUACAUAGAUUGCUGAUCAUAAGAUUAAUAAUGCCAGAAGAUUUUUUUCUUUUUGUAAUUAUAUUAAUGUUUCAAAAAGUCUUUCCAAUUUGAAAGGAUUCACAGAUCGGUAACAUUUUGUAGAUUUAUGCUUCCCUUUGUUCUUUUAUUAAAACAAAUUAGAAAAUAAACAAUCCAUCUUUUAGUGAUAUUUUAUAACAAUUUCCAUUUGAACACCUGAAGUAAUAAUGAUAAUUAGUGGCAUAUAAAUUUUUGUUUAGAUUACCAACUAUUAACUACCCUUUUUACUGAUAUUUUUUUAAUCUAGAGUAUGAUAAAUGAUUGUGUAGCUGAAACACUAACAUUUUUUUCAUAUUUUUCUAUGUAUUAUUCAAUUGUAUUCUAAAAAUGAAAACCAGUUAUACUUAUAUUACACUUGUAAGUGUAGACCCAUACAUCCUGUGGUUAAGAUGCCAUUUAAUAUUUUGACCAAAGCUUUCUAACAGGUAGCAGAGAUAUAAGUGUCUUGAUUCACUUACAUUUGAUGCCUGUGAUACAGUGUAGUAGAUACAGACCCCAUGUCAGCUCGUGUGCUCCACAUGGAAGAGCCUCCUGUGGCUGCAGUGAACACCUAUAAACUCUUCCAGUUACUUCUUAAUUUAUGCCGCUCCUUGUGGAAUUACUGGAGGAGGGUGGCAGUUACUCUAUAUAGACAUUCCAUAGUCUUCAAAGUAAGUAGUUCCUUUCAAAUGGUAUGUAUCGCAUGACCUUGCCAGUAGAAAUUGGUCUUCCUUAUAGAUGCUCUACAACCAUUUUCUUUCCCUUCUCAUUUCAUGUCAGAAUUGCUUUAAUAAAAGACAUGGUUUUCUGUUUGUUAAAAAUUGGAUCAACCUCUGUUAGAACAAAAUAAAUAGAGUCACAAAUCUCAUCAUUUAAAGAUAGUCACUUUUUUAUCUUUUUGUAAUGUCUCUCACUGGGAAUCUCUCUCAGUACCCAACACACACACACGUUAUUAAGCUUGAUUUGUUACUCCAUAUGUUAUGGACAUUAUUUCUUGUCAGUUUAUAUACUUUUAAUGGCCUUAAAAUCUGUUGUUUGUAUGUAUCACUAUAUCACAAUUUAUUAAUUAAUGGGCACUUAUAAUAUUCUUAAUUUUUACUUUGGAAACAAUGAUCUAUCUAAAUCUUUUCCAAGUUAUUUCUCUAGUGUAAAUUCUACAGCUGGCACUGUCGUGGUGAAGGGAACUGCAUGUUCUUACAUGUGAUCAGUUUUUCACUUCAUGCCUCACUAGAAGUGCAUUGUAAUAAUUUUGUUGUACAUAAUGAAGCAUGUGGGGAGAUUGUUGUUUUAUAUUAAAAUAAAUCUAAAAUUUGUAGAAAAAAAUAAAAGUGUAAAAUUUUAAAGAAAUACUAAUUUGUUUUCUUCUAGUCAGUUCUAAAUUCUGUUAAUCAUUCCCUUUUUGUAAAAAAAAAGUUUUGAUAGAAAAUUUGUGAAAUAUUAUUAUUUGAAAUUUUAAAUAAUUAUAUAGAAGACAAACACAUGUAAAACAGUACUUUAAACCGCACGUAUUUUAUUUCUGUUAGUUUUAAUGUAUAUCAAUGCUUAGCCUACCAAUGGGACAAUAGUGGGUUUUUUGGUUAUUUUUUCUUCUUAUUUUUUUUUUUUACUUUGCAAAUGUGUAGGAAUUCUAAAGUAUUUCAGGGUAUCCAUUACUCAACAAUUACAAAUUUUGGAAUUGCUAUAAUUCAUUCGUUUUAAAAAAUAUAUAUAUUUUGAGAUUUUUCCUGACUUCAGGUAAUAGUUUGCUUAGUGAGGGCUAAGCCCGUCUCUACCACCCUGUAAUUUUUAGCCACUUUUGUCGCCUAUCAAGUCAAUUGAAAGCUCUGAAACUGCCCUGUAUUCUCAUGCUCCACCCAGUCCUGAGCCAGUCUGAGUGUGUGCUCUUCUGAGAGUCCUAGUAGACAGAUUUGUGAUGGUGAUAGGGCUGUUAUAGCUCACAGUGUUGCCCUUCUUGGGUAUUCUCUUCACCCUAGCCCUCUGACUUAGGGAUGUGCUGCUGCCAGACCUUGCCUAUGUUGAUGAGACCCUGAACCCUUUUCACUCCCUUGAAAAGAUUUUCUAGUCCUGUGCAUUGAGAGUUAUCUAUGGGAUUUUUCUUUGUAAAGAACUGAAAACAUUGCCAGGUGUGGUGGCACAUUCCUGUAAUCCCAGUGGCUUGGAGACUUAAUCAGGAGGAUUGCAAUUUGAAGGCUAGCCUCAGCGUUUUAGUGAGGAAUUAAGCAACUAGUAAAACUCUGUCUCAAAAUAAAAAGCAUGAGGGAUGUGGCUCAGUGGCUAAACUCGCCUAAGUUCAAUCCCCAUACCAAAAAAGAAAAGAACCUCAUUGAUUUUGUAUUGAUAAGGAUGGAAAAUGUUAAUUUUUGAGUGAAAUAUAUUAUCCUUAUAUUAGGACUAUUUAAGGAUCAUCUUGCUGUAUGUAGUUUCUUUGACAUUUCCUUAGAUUUUGUUAGAACAAAGGCAGAUUUCAAAAAGUGGUCAGCCUUGGGGCUGGGUUGUGGCUCAGCGGUAGAGCGCUCGCCUCGCACGUAUGAGACCCUGGGUUCGAUCCUCAGCACCACAUGAAAAUAAAUAAACAAAAUAAAAAUAUUGUGCUCAUGUGUAACUAAACAAAUAUUAAAAAAAAAAAAAGUGGGUCAGCCUUGCUAGAAAAUGUAUAAGCUUAUUCUCAUUCUACAGAACACGAAAGUUGGUGUUUGUACUUUUGUUAUAUUUAUAUGUGUUAAGAACCAGGGACACUGUGUUGUGUUACCUUGGGUCUGUUUGUCUGUCGUGAAUGACAGAGAUAAUGUGUGUUUUUUUAUCAAUAUUAAUACAUGCUGGAGCAUGGUUCGCAAAAGGUCAGGAAUGAUGGGGCGAAAAAUUUUCAUGAGAAUACUUCAUAGCAUGCCUUGGAAACAUAAAGCAAUUUAACAAACUUGAUUGUCCUUGGCUGUAGAGUAAAGGUUGCAUAUCGAAAGCUUAAGACAUUGCCAAGAAUACAGAAUAACAGGAAUGUGUCGGUGCCUUUACCAUGUAUAGUCUUUGUGAGCACUUUUAAAAACUGAUAUAACCUGCAAUGGAAAUACUGGCUUAAAAAAGACUGGCUCAAAACUUAUUUCAGUUUAAGCUGGACAUAUUUUACUGCCUGAAAGAAAAAAAUAUAUAUUAGAUAAUACUUCUUUUCACAUUUGAAUUUUUUGUCAGUCAUUACAUACUUGCAGGCCAGUUUUGGUGACUUUUCUGGGAGGAAGGGUUAUUUAAAAAUUAGAUACUUGAUUUUAUAAAAUUUCCAUCAUCAAUUAAUUAAAAACUACACAAAACUCCUCUCGGGAUUGGAGUGUAGUGCAGUGAUAAUUUGUGCUUAGCAUGAGUGAGGCCAUUGGUUCAACUUCCAGCAUCAAACAAGAAAAAAUUGAAACACCUCUGACUAUUUCAGGGUUUUGUUUUUGUUUUAAGCUGACUAGCCAAUCACAGUUUUUGCAUUUAUGCUAUGUGACAUAUUAAUCACUCUUAAUAACAUGUGACUUUUUAGAAGUUUUACAUUAAUCAGUUUUACAUUAAUCAUGUGACUCUUGAUUAUUUGUAUUUUUGUAGGUAUUUUUCACCACUGGGUACAAUACCAGGCAAAAAUAUUGCUUUGUUCAUAAAUGGAAAGACUGUUUAUUACAGUAGUACAGUACAUCUAAGAAAACAGAAAGUAAUUAAAAUGUUGAUUACUAUAGUAAAUCUGUAAAAUAUCCGAUUAUUAUUAUUUUUUUCGUAUGUGCUCACAUUUCUGAGAAGUUAGCUUUUGCCCAACAACCUACUAUGAUUAUCUGAUAUCCACCGGAAGGUUAGUUGAGUUGUUUCCUAUAUUACUUAGGAAAAAAUUUCUUUUCACAAUUGAAAAUGUCAGCAUCAAUUUAAAGUAACACUAAGCAUGUGCUUGCUUUCUGAAUAUUAUCCUCCUCCACCUCCCUCCAACCACCCCUGCUGAGGAUCUGGCUGUGACAGUUUGAUUAGAUCAUCAAUCCUCACUGUUAACAGCACUUUUCCUGAACACCUGGGCUGCUGGGUCACAUCUGAAUUCAGCUACCGUCAUUUUGGUGACCUGACGUGCAUUUACCAUAGCAAUUUACAUUAUGUGCACAAAUUAAAAGUUGCCUUAUAACAACAGUUUACUUUAAAAAAUGACCUCUAUUCCCCCAUGUUGAAGUUAUGUUAUAGGAGGUGCAUUUUUGUAUGAUGAAAGACCUAACUGGAAUACAGUCACCCACAUUAUAAAGGUGUUCUCUUUCUCUUUUCAGGUAGGCUGUUAGACCAGAAUGUCUAUAAUGAAAAUAAUCUUGUCUUUCAUCAUUUUGUGCCACUUAGAAACCCGUGUUGAUUGCAUUUUUAAAUUUGAUUUUAUUUUUACCAGAUUUAAGCCUAACUAAAUAAUUGAAUUUGUCAUGUAUUUCUGAAAAUUUUUCUGCUACUAAAUUCUCUACUUGAACUGUCAUAGACAGUAUGUGAUUUAUAAUUUCCUAUUUAUAGUUGUAAUGAUAAGUACCUGUUUACAUUUUCUUUUUUUUAAUAUUUUUUUUUUAGUUAUACAGGGACACAUAUCUUUUUUUUUUUUUUAAAUGUGGCGCUGAGGAUCGAACCCAGUGUCUCACAUGUGCAAGGCGAGCACUGAGCCACAGGCCCAGCCCUGCUUACAUUUUCAAUGCAAAUUAUUUAGAAGCAGACUGCAACAUAAGCAUACUGUUAAAUCUAGCAUUAUUGGAUUUUUGGAUAUCAUAAUUAUCUUUUGUUUUCCCCACAACUUUUUAUUGUUGUAAAAAAGAGGAGAAAUAUAAAAAUCGUACCUUUAAAAUAUAUGGUGCUUGGGAGUGGGGACCUGCCUUGUGUUAUCCAAGUGAUGCUUUCCUGCUGAUGUUGAACAGUUAGGCAAGGACGAAGACACUGCUGGAGUGGGUCCAACUACACUGACAGGAUAGAGAAGAUCAGUGGCACAUGCAUCUGUGAUUUUAUCAGCAACUCACAGUUUUUAAAUUUGCAAAUGGUCAUUAUUUAAGGCAAUUUGAGCAUUGCACAAACAAAUAAAAGAUAUCCAGGUGUUUUGUGAGGAAAUCAUGGCCCCCCUAUUUGGAUUCUCAACAUUUUUGUUCUGUUUCUUUUUUGCUUGAAGACCAUGUUGAUAUAUACAUUACAAGUACUUUCCUGUUUCAUAGAUACUAGUUUUUUUUUUAAAUGAAGUAACUCUUUUAAAAUCAUUUAAAAUGGUUACCCCAAGUUUUAAAUGACUUAUUCAUGUACUAGAACUCCAAGCCAAUAUAUGUGCCCUUAGGAUGGCUGUACCCUCCAGAACAGGGACUGUCAUUGGCUCACUGUGAUGACAGGCAUAUGGGUCCCACUCCUGCUGCAUCCCACUUCCUUUGGACCACUUAUAUUUUCAUUAGCGUGGCUGAUGUCCUUAACCCAUUCUUUAUCAUAGAGAAAAAUUGUGAUGCUCUAAACUUUUGACAGUGGCAUGUUGGCAUCUGAUGAAUAACCAUUUAACCCAAGUUUUCCUUCAGUCUUUAUCUAACUGUGUGAUACAGUGUCCGUUACUUUAAAUCUCUGUUUUCUUCUGUGCCUAUGUAGGAUUGUAGAAUGAAGCCUGAGGACUUGAAUGCCAGUGUGUCCCUCAGUGACUUCAUUUCCCUGGACUCUCAUGACUUUAAGUCCCACAUUCAUUAGCUGUAAAACUGAUAUGAGAACAUGGUGACUGUUUUGAGGAUCAGAUGUAAUAUAAAUGAAAAUUACUUUAAGGCAAAUAGUAUGUUAUAAUGAGUGAAAUCUACCAUAUGAUUAUUAAAAUCCAGGACCAUAAUUUUAACCCUAACCUGGUCAUUUUAUCAACUGACAUCUGGCAUAAUAACUUAUCCCCUGAUACUCAAAUUACUCAAUUAAAGAUGUAGCAGAUAACAUUUUUCUUAGAAAAUUCUCAUUAGGAGUAGAUUAAAUGAGAUAAAGUGUCAAAUAACAGAGUAGAAUUCUUUACAUUUGAAAUUUUGUAGUAUAACUGAAUCAGGUUAAUCUCAUAGGUAUUGUGAAUUUAACCAAAAGUUUUUGAGAUUCUGCCUGGCUUUAAGUUCUAGGAAUAGAGUGGUGAGUGUAUUAGCUUUUCAUUCCUAUGAUAAAAUACCUGAGAACAGUUAUAAAGAUAAUAUUUUAGUACUUCCAAAGUUCUGGAGAUCCCAGUCCAAGAUUGAUGGACUGAUCUCCUUUGGGCCUCUGGUAGGCAUGCUGGAUGGCCAUGUCAGGAGAACCUGAUGGAGCACAGGAGGAGAAGUGAAAGGAAGCAGCUGGGUCCCACAGUCCCCUUCAUGGUCCUAUCUCCUUGGUCAUAGAAGUUCCCAUUAGGCCUCACAUCCCAAAGUUGUUACACCAUCUGUUAAAUGCCCCCCCCCCCAGCCGCCCCCAGGAACCUACACUGUAAUACCUGGGCCUUUGGGGGACACUUACCCAGCUAUAGAGGUAAGAUGAACACUCUACCCAUGGCGCUUAGAGUCCCUAGGAGAGUCAGAAAACAAGGGAAUGGUUUUAGGAACAGUAGAUGCUGUGGGGGGAAUGAUAUUGCGCUAAGGGACAGGAAGUAGCAGGUGGUGAGGGGAGUGAUUUCUAGACUGUUCAGGGAAAGCAACUUUGUAUUUGGGAUCAUUAUAGACUCACAUGCAGUUGUGAAUCUACAAUGAGAAAUAAUGCAGAGAGCCCAUGUGUUCUGAAGCAUUUAGAAUGGAAACUUGAAUGAUGAGGAAAAAAACGUAUCAAAGAGUAUUCCAGGCAGAGGGACUAGAAAGUGCAGACGUGGGGAAAUAGAAUCCAAGUGUGUUUACUUUGAUUUACUGACAUGUAGUCACUGUAGUGGUGACAUACACAUGGAAGUGAGUGCUUUAAACAGACCCAGCAGCAGCGAGGUCACAAAAUGUCUCAGAGCCUGGGUGCAGACUUUGUCUUCCUCAUGCCACAGAUAUUCAUGCAAAGAUUUUAAUGGGCCAUUGGCACUCCGAAGAACAAUGCCAGUGGCGCUACAUAGCCUUUCUGAGUUCCCACAGCAACAGUUUUUCAAAAUACUGUCACUCUCCACGUUUGUAAGUUGACACCUAAACAUUUUUGUCCUAAGUAUAAAUAGUUGGACAGGAUGUAAUUUCUAGAGUAGAGUAAAAUUUGACAUUGUGAAAUAAUUCUUAUGCCACUUAAAAUAUAUGCAAAAUUACAUAAAUGCCAUGAUUUGAUAACCCCAUCAUUCACUUAAAAAUAUAUGAAUAAGCUUUUAUUCAACUCUCAGAAAAUUUAAACUUAUCAUUCUUUUUGAACUCAUAUUUCCUUCCCCUCCCCCGCCAAUCUUACUUUAAAGUAUUUAUAUGUGGAGAUAUUUUACUGACCAUCCUGUCAUUUCUGUAUUAAUGUACAGUCAUCCCUCUGUAUUUGUGGAUUCUGCAUCUGCAGAUACAACCCACUACAGAUUGAAAAUGUCAAAAAAAAUUAUACCUCUACAGAACAUGUGUGAACUUUUCUGUGUGUCAUUAUUUUCUAAUAUGUGAAAAGAAUUUAUUUAGCAUUUACAUUGUUAGGCGUUAUGUAUUAUGACCAAUCUAGAGAAGACUUAAAGUAUACAGGAAGAUAUGUAUAUGUAUAUGAUGCAAAUACUGUGCUAUUUUAGUUAAGGGACUUGAGCAUCUGAGGAUUUGCAGAUCUGUGGUUGACUCUGGAACCAGUCCCCCAUGGGUACCACAGGACAACUGUACAUACAAACCACAUUGAAGUAGGUUUUUAUUUUUUAAUAAUAUUAACCAUAUCGCUCUAGGUAUUAAAAACAUCUAGAAAGUAUUAUUAUUUACAAUUACUACUAAUGCACAGUUGAUUGAAACGAUAAAGUUUAUAAAAUGUUUAUUAAUUAUGAAAUGUAUCAUUUCAUUAGAAUUGCAUUUGUUAUUGAGAUGGAGUUUUAAAUUUUAACUUUUGUGCCUAUAUGUUUAUUGUUAGAAUGAAAUAGUCUGAUGGAAACUAAUAGUAAACAUAAUUAACAUUUGAGAUUAUAAUUUUGUGGCUUAUAAAUGGAGUGCUAAUGACUUAGUAUGUUGCUUACAUACUAUAGAUGUUUUGUGUUAUAUUUGUAUUUUAUCAUUAUGGUAGGAUCAAUUGCAUUUCUACAGAGUACAUUGUUGGUAUGAACAAAUCAGAAAUGCCUAACGAGUGGCAUGGUGUGGAUAGACAUAUGCAUGUAAUCGCUGUAUUCUGUGGGGAAAUGCUAAAGAUAAUGUUCCCCCUUGAAGAAAUUCCAAAUCAACUGUUAGAAUGAUUCUUUUCUGAUAUAAACUGGUCCAUGGGAAGUAAAUGUUUUCUUGUUCCAUUAAUGUCCUUAGUCUUUUGUUUCAUAUUUUCCAUUAACUGUCUUAGAAUUCACAGAUACUGUCCUUUGCAUAUCUGGUUUUUUUUCCAAGUCACCUAAUAAAUUCUUUAUGAAGUUUUUUUUUCUUUUUUUUGCCAGGGGUGGAGUACUAAGGAUCAAACCACUUUUACCACUGAUGUACACCCUCAGGCUCCCUCUUUUCCUUUUAAAAAAGUUUGAGACUGGGUCUCUCUAAGUUGCUAAGUCUAGCCUCGAAUUUAUAUUCUUUUGUUUCAGCCCUAUGUGACACUGGGAUUACAGGUGUGCACCACCAUGCCAGGCUCAUACAGUGAAUACUUAAUGAAAUACUUAUUUAUAUUUCAUUGACAAAAAAAGUAUAAAUAUAUGAGAUGAUCUGUGAGUUUUUAAAAAUUAAUUUAUUUUUUAAAAAAUUUAAAUUUGUUCUCAUUAGUUAUAUAUGACAGAAUACAUUUUGACACACUGUACUCAAAUGGAGCACAAUGUAUCAUUCCUCUAGCUGUACAUGGUAGUGUACAGUAGUGUAAUCAUACAUGCAUAUAGGGCAAUAAUGUCUGUCUCGUUCUACCGUCCUUCCCAUCCCCACAGCCCCACCCCUCGCCUCAGUCCCCUCUGCACAAUCCAAAUUUCCUUUAUUACUCCCCCCCACUAUGGAUCAGCAUCUGCUUAUCAGAGAAAACAUUCAGCUUUUGAGUUUUGGGGAUUGGCUUAUUUCACUUACCAUGAUAUUCUCUAGUUCCAUCCAUAUACCUGAAAAAUACCAUAAUUUCAUUCUUCUUGAAGGCUAAGUAGUAUUCCAUUAUGUAUAUGUACUGUAUUUUCUUUAAGCAUACAUCUGUGAAGGGCACCUAGGUUGGCUAAUUUACAGACUCACCAGCAAUGUAUGAGUGUCCCUUUCCCCCACAUCCUUGCCAACACUUUUUAUUGCUUUUAUGCUUGAUAAUUGCCAUUCUCAUUGGAGUAAGAUAGAAUCUUAGGUUUUUUAUUUUAUUCAUUUAUUUAUAUGUGGUGCUGCGAAUUGAACCCCAUGCUUCACACAUGUGAGGCAAGUGCUCUACUUCUGAACCACAACCCAAGCCCCAAAAUCUUAGUUUUGAUUUGUAUUUCUGUAAUUGCUAGAGAUGAUGAACAUUUUUUCAUAUGUUGAUUGAGGUGUGAGAUUUUGAUACCUGUAUAUAUUAUGUAAUGUUUAAAUCAGAGUAAACAAUAUAUUUUCUUAAAUAUUAACCUCAUUUUGUGGUCUUAAAAAUAUCCAAACCCUUUCAUUUUUAAUUCAUUUUUUAUAUUUUAUUUAUGGUUUUAAAAUAUUUGCCUGACUUUUUAAUGUAGAUUAAACUGUGCUGUUGCAGUUCUUUAUCUUUUUUAUUUUAUCAUUUCCUUUUUUUUCCGUCUUUUCUUUAAAGUGGUGACUAUAGUUGUUUGAGAGUCUUUGUGUAUUUUUGUCUUGAAUUAUUGGUCACAUUUUCUUUUUCCUUAUUUAGGUAUCUGGUGAUUUCUUGGUUGUGUCCACAGUGUGGUGUGUAAAAAUCACAGAGGCCCAGAGCUCUGGUCUGACGGGCAGGAAGGCCUUUCUGUUAGGUGAAAAAGGUGGGGAUUGGACACCUCCUCCAACAAAGGACGGGCUGUGUGGAGCCUGCCUUGCAGUCUGCAUGGUACUUCAUUCUCUUGUGCUUCCUCAGCUGUCUUUUCUUAUGAACUGUGUGUAAGUGCUUAGUUUGAAUCCCGGCAGUGGUGUGUGCCCUCUCUCCUGAGCCUCAGCCCUGGAAGAAGGUAGGAGAUCUCUUGAGUCCAGGUGAUACUAUUGGUGGCAAGUCUCUUCUCUCUCUCUAACAACAUUUUGUCCCCUCUGUGUCAUGGUGUCUCAGAAACCACUCUGUCUUAGUCCCUGAACCCCUCACUCACAGGGACGUUUCCUGAGGAGAUGGGCCAAACAUAUGGGUUUCCUUCAGCUUCCCACGUACCCCAUGGGCCUGUGUCAGGGCCAGCAGUGUUGCUGCUUCUCAUUAAUUCCAGUGGAGCACCUUUUCCUUGGGCAGGCCCUGAGCACAGCUGAACAGAAAUUGCCAAAUGCCCAUGUUGAGAAAUGGCCACCUGUCUUAGAUUGGCUGGGAGGGACUCUGUCAUCUAACUCAUCUAAGGCAUUGAGGUCUAGGAGCUCCUGCAGCUUCCUCAACAACUCUGAGAACACAGUCCUCAUACUUAAGCCCACCUUUUCCAGUGUUGCAGUAGGAUCUUUGGCUUGCACUACCUCUGUGUCCUGUCAGAAAUCAAAAGUCCCUCGUUUUAUAGAAUUCCUAGACUGUGAUUUGUUAACAUCUUCAAAAUGGUAAGGAAAAUUCUUAUUCAUUCAGUGGUGGAGAAAGGGAUGCAGCAGCAGGUGUCCACAUUUGGAUGCCUUUGCACUGAAUGGUUUACAGUCUUUCCUCUCUGUGGGAAUAUGUAAUUUCUAAUUGUAAUACUGAAAGCAUGAUUCAGGAGUACUAAGAAAAUUUACAGAGCAAAUUGUGCUCUUUUUUUGUGGUUGGUAUUAAUUACUUUGUAAAAUCAUAAAUUUUGUUCAUUUGAACUGUUUUUAAGGAUUGAUUUAAAUGUAAACCUCUUGGUUCACACUUACUGUUAUUAUUAUUUCUCUUGCAGGGGUAGGUACCCGGAAUUUUACCCAAGGACAUUUAACCACUGAACCAUAUUCCUAGCCUUUUUUUAUGUUUUUUUAAUUUGAGACAGGGUCUUAUAAGUCGCUUAGGGGCCUCACUAAGCUGCUAAGGCUGGCUUUGAAGUUGCCAUCCACCUGCCUCAGCCUCCUGAGCUGCUGGGAUUACAGGUGUUUGAGUAUUGUUUUGAAGAAUAAUCAGUAAUAAUUUUUUCUUCUGUUGUGCUUUUUGGUGCCAUGAUAUUGUGGAUAGUAUUUGUAAGUAUAGGAGUAAGGGAACACACACCCACAACCCACAAACACAUUUUUAUUUGUAAGUUAAUAUGGAGUAGAAUUAGGACAUUUUCUUUUUUAGUUGUAGACAGACACAAUAGCUUCAUUUUAUUUACUUAUUAUAAUUAUUUUUUAAUGUGGUGCUAAGGAUCAAACCUAGUGCCUCACAUGUACUAGGUGGAGUGCUCUACCACUGACUACAACUGCAGCCCCUAGAUUUCUUCUUUCAAUGAUCAUCUUUUUUUAUCUUCUUUUAAAAACCAAUAUGAUCUGAUUGCACAAAUGAUUCUCAUAUAACUUUGUGAAACUGUUGGUUUUAUUUUUGUAUAUUUGUUGAAGAUAUUCAAAUAAUAUUUCAGUGGUUCCUAUAGCACUUUUUAAGUUUUUCAUAUAGACCCAUAAAUUCAUUAUGCUAAAAUAGGUAUCAUUUGUUAAAUCUACAAAUGUUACUGAUAUUAUCAAAAAAGUCAAAAUAUUAUAUCAAUUUGAAUAACUAGUCUUUUAUUUCAAACUUCUGUUCCUAGUGUAAAGUUAAAAGAAAUAAAAGGCCAUAGUUCAAAAUGCAACAAAAAUUAUACUCGUAACUGGGUGUGGGUAAUACCUUUAAUCCCAGAGACAGUAGAGGUUGAGGCUGGAGGAUCACAAAUUCCAGGCCGGCCUCAGCAACUUUCUGAGGCCCUAAGCAACUUAUUGAAGCUCUGUUUCAAAACUUCAAAAUUUAAAAAGGGAUAGGAAUGUAACUCAGUUAUAAAAGCACCCUUGGUUUCAAUCCUUAAAACCAAAAAAAGAAAAAAGUGUACAUAUAUAUUCCUAAAAAUUUAUAAAACUCAUAAUGGUUUGUUUUAAUUCUAUAUUUAUAAACAUUUUUAUGCUAGGAUAUGUGAUUGUAUGUUUGGAAGUUAGAUAUAUCUACAUUUCCUUUUAGAUUUUUUUUCCAAGAUUUUCCUGAGAAAAUUUCGAGCACACAGAUGCAUUCUGCAGCAGCACAGGUCAUCCAUGCCCUCAUUCACAGUCGGUGGCAUUUGUUGUCCGUCUUGCCAGUUACUGUUGUUCUCUGUAUUGUCUCUUUAUUCCAUCUCCAAUGGAAAAGAAGUCUUGAUUUUUUUCUCAGUAGUAAUCAAACAGAUGUUGAAUACCAUUUACAGAAGGGUUUUUAAGCUGCUUGUCUAAGUUUGCACAGCGAGCAUAGAUGGAAAUCAAGAUGGAACCCACCAUGUCUGUGUUCAGAGCCUGUGUGUUCCACUGCUACCCUCUUUUUCCUGAUAAUGCAUAUAAGUUGAAUCCUAUUUUUUAUUUCAACUUUUCCCAUGAAUUCCUGAUAUGACUUUAGUAUUUUAAAUCCAUUUUUUACAUAUAAAGGUUUCUUUUUAAUGUUUUUAUUAUUACAUUGCAGUUGUGCUUAAUAUUGGGGUUUAUUUUUACAUAAUUAUACAUUUAUUGAAUAUGAUUUAUUCCAUUUCAAUUUGCAGUACUUCCUUUCUCUCUCUCUUCUUCACUCUCUUUGUUUGCCUUUGUAACCUCUACUGGUAUUCCUUAUAUUUAUUUGUAAUUUUUAAAGUUGGUGCACAUGCACAUGCGCUCCCACCCGCCCCCAUAUAUCUAUGUAUGUAUACACACAUAUAUGUGUAUAUACAUUUACACACACACACACACAUACAUACAUAAACACAUAUAAAGAUGAAAUUCACUGUGAUAUCUUCAUAUGUGAGCAUAAUUUGGUCACUUUCAUUCUAUAGUUCCUCCAUUUUCCAGUCCCUCCUCCCUCCCCCUCUACCAUCUCCCCUUACUCCACUCAUCUCCUUUCUGUUUUCAUGGGUUCCCCCCAACCCCCGUUAAUUUUCUUAUUUUGCUCUACUUCCAUAUUAAAGAAAUAUUUGACCCUUGACUUUCUAAGUAUGGCCUAUUUGACUUAGUAGGUAUUCUCCAGUUCCAUUCAUUUACUAGCAAAUGUCAUAAUUUUAUUCUUUAUGUUUGAAAAGAACUCCUUUGUGUGUAUGUGUACCACAUUUUCUUUAUCCAGUCAUCUGUUGACAAGGAAUUUGGGCUGAUUCCAUAACUUGGCUAUUGUAAAUUGUGCUGCUAUAAACAUUAAUGUCCCUGUGUUACUACAGUAUGUUGAUUUUAGUUCUUUUGGAUAAAGAUUAAGAUUGGGGAUAGCUGGAUCAUAUGGUGUUUUCAUUGCUUUUGUUUCGAGGAAUCUCUAUCCGGCUUUACAAAGUGAUUGUGCUAAUUUGCAGUCCCACCAGAAUGUAUGAAUGCACCUUUCCCUCCACAUCCUUGCCAGCAUUUAUUAGUUACUUGUAUUCUUAAUGAUUGCGGUUCUCACUGGAGUUAAAUGAAAUCUCAAUGUAGUUUUGAUUUGCAUAUCCCUGAUUGCUAGGGGUGUUGAAUAUUUUUCUCAUAUAUUUGUUGGCCAUUUGAAUUUCUUUUUUGAGAAAUCUGGCCAUGUGUUGAUUUUUUUUUCCAUGUGUUGAUUUUUGUUUUUGAUGUUGUCUGCGUUCUUUAUAUAUUUGGGAUAUUAAUCCCCUAGGUGGAGUAGCUGUGAAAGUUUUUUUUUUUGUUUUGUUUUCUCGUUCUGUAGGCUCUCUUUUCAUGCUCUUUUCUUUCUUUGCUCUGCAGAAGUUUCUAAUUUCGAUGCCAUCUCACUUAUUGACUCUUAGUUUUAUAUCUUGAUCUUUAGAGGUAUUGUUAAGGAAGUUGUUGCCUCACAAACUGAGCCUGUUUUCUUCUAGCAGUUGCAGUGUUUCUGGUCUAAUUCCUAAUCAUCUGAUGCAUUUUCAAUUGACUUCUGUACAGGUUGAAAGAUAGGGAUCUUAUUUCAUUCUUCCACAUAUGGAUAUUCAGUUUUGCCAGCAUCAUUUGUUCAAAAUACUGUGUUUUCUUCAAUGGAUCUUUUUGGCACCUUUGCUGAGCAUCAGAUGACUGUAUCUGUGUGGGUUUGUAACCGUAGCUCUCCAUUAUAAUUCCACAUAAUGUAUUGUGCUGCCUCCAGAGUCAUUCGUUUUAUUCAGGAUUGCUUUGUCUAUUGGGUUUUUUAUUCUUAAUGAAUUUGAGGAAUGUUUUUUCUAGUUCCAGGAAGAAUGCAAUUGGUAUUUUGAUGGGGAUUGCAUUGAGUCUGUAUAUUACUUUUGGUAUUAUGGUCUUUUUGACAAUAUUAAUUCUGCCUUAUCAAGAUCAUGAACUCUCUUCCAUUUUCUAUGAUCUUCAUCAAUUUCUUUCUCAAUGUUCUAUAGUUUUUUUUCCUCCCAAGGAUAUAUUUUGUUGUUAUUUGUUGGUUUGUUUGCUUUAUGUUUUUUGCUUUUUUUGUUUUUGUUUUUGUUUAUCACAUCUAGAAGUUUUCUGGUGGAGUUUUUCCAUCUUCUAGAUGUAGGAUCAUGUCUUUUUCUAUUUGCAUCCAUUUAAUUUCUCUCUCUUGCCCAGUUGCUCUGACUAGAUUUUUAGUAGCUGUGUUGAAUAGGAGUGGUGAGAGUCAGCAUUUUUGUCUUGUUCCUAAUUUUCAAGGAAUUGCUUUAAAGUGUUUCCCAUUCAGUAUGAUAUUGGACUUGGGUUGUUGUAUAUAGUAUAGCCUUUACAAUAUUGAGGUAAGUUCCUCUAUCCCUAAUUUUUUCCGCAUUUUUACAUGAAUCAGAGCUGAAUUUUAUCAGUGGCCUUUUUUGCAUCUAUUCAGAUGUUCAUGUAAUUCUUUUCCUUGAUUCUGUUUAUGUGGUGAAUUAUAUUUAUUGAUUUGUAUAUGUCAAACUCACCAUGCUUCCUUGUGAUGAAACCUACUUGAUCUUGAUAUAUUAUCUUAAUGUGUCUUUGAACGCUGUUUGCCAAUAUUAAGAUUUUUUUUUUUUUGUCUAUGUUCAUCAGGGAUACUGGUCUGUAAUAUUCUUUCCCCGAUGUUUCUUUAUCUGCUAUUGGUAUCAGGAUGAUACUAGUUUCAUUCAUGGGAGUGCUGCCUUCCUAUUUCAUGGAAUAAUUUGAGGAGGGUCUAGCAUUAGUUUUUUUUAAAGUCUGAUAGAACUCAGCUGGGAAUUCAUGUGGUCCUGGACUUUUCUUUGUUGGAAGGCUUUGGAUUGUUGCCUCAAUCUCCUCUGGCUUACAGAAGGGUAUAUGAUGGUAUCUCCCUUUUCAUGUCUAAUUUUUUUUUUUUUUUACUUUCUCUCUCUUUUGGUUAGUUUGGCUAAGGGUUUUAUCAGCAUUUCUUUUUAGGUGAGUUUCUUGAUUGGUUAUUUUUGCAGAAGUAUAACUCUUCAAUUAUGUUGCUUCUUUACUUGUAAACAAAACCCAGCUGUAGUGUUCUGUGCUUCCCAGUAACAUCUGGGGUUCUCAGUGUGUCAUUCCAAUCUUUGCACAGUCUCCAUCCUCUUUUUCCAUUACCAAUCCUUUGUAUUAAGGACAUGAAUAUUAUUGAACUUCCACAUAUGCAAAUUCUUGAUUGAACAUUAUGAAAACUAUUGGAAACUCUUUCUGAGAGAAUAAUUAUAGAUUUGUUGGGAUUCUGCCACUUGUCCUUACCAAUGAAAGAAAAUUCUUGCUCCUAGGUAAUUACAUAUUAUGAUAUAUUUAUAUUUACUUUGACUGAUGUUAAGUUCUAGGAGGAAGUAAAUGUUUUACAUUCUGAUACAAUUCUCCAUCAUCAUGUUUAUUUUUUGAAAAAAUAACUGAAUAGAAUUUUCCUUCUCUCAUGAAUAUUUCAUUAAUUUAGAGACCUUUAAUUUCUGGAAAUAACCAUUGGAAGCACCUUUUUGGUCAGCUUUCAAUUCAUGCUAUAGUUUGAUUUGUUCUACCUAUUGAUUAUUGCUGGUCCAGUCUGUUAUAAUAAGUUGGGUGAUUCUGUCAGGAAGAAGUUAUUUUUCUACAAACACAUUCAAAAAUUUUUCUUAUUGAUUCUGAUUCUUAAUCUUGACCUUGUUACUAAUUGUCUAUUUCUGAUUUCAUUAUUACUCAAUAUGGUUGGUGUUUUGUUUUCUAGGUGGCUUUAUUUAUUUAAAUCUAUUUAAAUCAUGAGUGUGCCAUGAAUAUUGAUUUGGGGGUCACAAGUAAGUUCACAAGGAGGAGAAUUCACAAGUGUGAAAAAACUGAAUAGAAUUUUAUUUGUAUUUUUUGACUGAAUAGUUAUACAUAGGUUGUGGCACUUGUCAUUUCAGUUUAUAUCCAUAAUAUUCAGUAAGCCAAAUAUUAUUCUAAUAAAUACUUAAUCUUUUAGAGAUUGCUAAAAUAUAAUGCAUUUUGAAAUGCAAGUAUGUUAAUGAUUUUUCUUCUGCCAAUAUUUCUAUUAGGAAAUGCAUGAGCUUAUUAUAAAAUUAAAUAUAAUUUCAGCAGCAGAUAAUAAAUCACAAAUUGUUUUCUAUAGACCUUUAUUGUAGUCUGUGCCUUCCGUCUUCUCUGUUUAAUUUUCUAAGGUCUUUAUUGACUUCCUCAAUGUUUGUGCACUAAAAAACUCUCUGAAUAAAAUAUUGUUGUUGUUAUAUUAAUUAUUUGUAGGGUUGAUUUUUUUUUCAUUGAAUUGAAUUUUUAAUGUGCUUAUACAUUCUAACAAAUAGAUGGAACUCAGACUAUAGAAUUCCUAUCUUAGACAAUAUGUAGUAAGUUUAGUUGGUAGUUGAGAACAAAGCUUAUAUAGUUGAUUUUGCUCUUUUUAUUGGAGUAACAUAUGAAAGAUUAGCAUUUUCGGUGCCUCUUACCCUUUUUCAUUGUGAAUUUCUGAUUCUCCUUCACCUAGAGUUGCAGGGAAUAACCAUUGGCUCCUUUACUAUAGUCCUGAUUUACAGACUUUACAGUCCUGAGUAAAGUCUCCAUCAAAAAUAUUUUAUCAGUUCUUUCUAGUAUAGUUCCCCUUGCUGUGAUGAACUGUAUGUUCUUAAUUCAGUUUAUAAAGAGCUCCUAUACUUUCUGGUCUUUGUUUUAAUGGGACAGGAGUGUUGGCAUUUUUCCCUAAAGUCUUCACUCAGUGUAGAAAAAUGCAUGUAAUAAUUUAUAGGUAGAAACAAAUAAUAUCUAUGAUAUUAUUUUAAAAAGUAUAGAGAAAAUUGUAUAUUUCUUUACAACACUGAGUUGUAAAUUAGUCUUAAAAUUACUGUCCCAUUACUUAAGAUAUUCCCUUUGUUUUUAAAUAAAUAUUUAGGGGUUAUUCUUUUAUUUGCAAGCUAGGUAUUCUCAAAAAUCCUUUGAAGUUUGUGUUGGGAAAAAUGAAGGCAUUUCAAAGGAUUAAACUUUCUGGAACACGAUGAGUGGGAAUCAUUUUUAAGUAUGACCGUGAAGUGUUUUUGACAGGUUUUUUGUUUGUUUGUUUGUUUUCCAGAUUAUUUUAAGGUCAGUGAUAUAUUCCAAAGCUACUUUGAAUUUUAGAGAAAGGUUAGUGAGACUAUUAAGCUGUAUUCGUAGAGACUACUAGAUUAUAUUCUAUAGAAUAUUAUAGUCUGUGUUUUAUUUGGGUGAUUCAUUUAUUGGCUCAAAAUUUCAUUCUCAAGUUUCCUUUUGAAAUGUACAAAGAAUCAAAGAAUAUCUGCAAGGUGUCUAUAGAAGUUUAAAUUUUCAACAGUCACCUCCAUCUUGUAGGUGAUGUUUGGCAUCAUGAUGUAAGUGGGGCAGAUAUCCUACACUUCUCAAAUUUUCUCAGUCAGACUUGGCUUGAAAUCCCUUUUUGUGUUAAUAGUAGAAAUCACAGCUGGCAAAAUGGCACAAAAGUGUUGCUCUGUCAUCUUCCAGUGCCAUACUUGAACCUGUGACUUGUUGGCCAUGGGUCACACUGUUUUACACUUGAAUUAUUAGAAAGAGUUGUCCUUCUGUGCCUGGCAUGUAGAGAAUGAACUCAGAUUUAUGUGGCACCGUUUGUCAUUCUAAUUUCUGCAUUUUUCAGGUAUUGUAGUCUUUGUUUCUGAGGUUGCUCUGUACUUACUCACAGUGUGCACUCAGUGUGUGUUUACUGAUUUGCUUUGAAUCUUUGCUUAUGCAUAUAAAAUGCCUUCUAGAGGAUUUGUUUUUAGGCUAUCAAAAGAAGUUUAUUCACUGCAAUACCAUCCUUGUUUUGACUAAAAUAAGAAAAGCUCCUUUUAUGCACAGAUGCAUUUUAAUUUAGCAGCUGUCUUCUUACACUUUUUUUUUUUUUUUUUGCACAUUUUGGCUAAAUCAGAAUUCCAAAUGCAAAAUACAGCACAGAGGAAUAUCACAUGUAUUUAUGACCCUCUCUAGAGGACCAAGGAAUAGAUUACAUUCAUUCACAUGUGGCCUGUUUCCAAUCCUGGCAGUCAUUAUUCAGUACAUAUCAAUAAUAUAAUUUUAAAACAUGUUUUUAUUGUAUUUAACUGAUUUUUAGGCCAUUGAACAAGAAAAAUUGCUAAAUGUGAAUAUAGACUAGAGCAUUUUAGCAUGACUCUGGAUAAAUCAUAAAGGAAACAAUUUUUCUCCCUCUGUCUCCCUCCUGCCCUUCUGUGCUGAGACAUGUCACAGCUGGAAACCAGGCUGUACUUAUGACAUAUCUUUCACCUUCCUGAGAGGUGGUACCAUGUGUCAACACACACUGAAGCCUCAAUUGAAGUCCUACAACCAUUUUGGUCAGUUGUACAGAAUUUUGAGCCUUAGUAAAAGUACAAUAUUGGGAAUGUAGUGAUUAUAAUCUGAAAGAGCCUGCAAGAAACAUCUGCAGUAUUUGUAUUUAGGUAAAAAUUGUUCAUACCAUGUGUUUGGUACCCUUGUUACACCAAGGGGGAAUGUCAGCUAUUCUGAGACGGAUUUUGGUUCCCCUAAUAAUUUUCUUGAACAAAAUUCUAUUUUAUUUUAAAAGGGUGUUAAUUGUCCCUUCUAAUAUUGUUUUUCAUUUUCAAAAUAUGCCCUUUGGAAACAAUAGGAUCUUACUAAUCCAAUAAUAUGGAAUAUUAACAGUUGGCUAAGAGUUUAAUUUUACAACUGUACAAUCAUUUAUCUGUCAUUUGCUCUUGUGUGUUUCCCAUAAUAUUGUAGUAAUAUGCAAUGUGAUUUCUUAUGAGUCCAUUGAUAUUCAUUCAUUUUUGUCCAUCCAAGAUAAGUGACAGUUGAAUAUAAGUGGUCUUGUUUCUGUUGUUGGUUUUGAGUUCAUAUAAGAUGCUUCUGUUUUCUAACCCUAUUUUAGGAGCAGUCAAAGAAAAUAUGUUGGACAAUAUUCAAAAUGUGUGCUUGGUGAUGUUCUCUGAGUAUUGGGCAGGAGACUGCCAUCUCAGACACUUUCACAAAGUGGAUUAACCUAAGAUUGUCCCAAGGACCAGCUUUCAUAUUCUUUAACAGAGGCUUGUACUAGAACAUUUUUUUGAAAGUCAAUGUUUUUAAAUUACCCACCACCAAUAUUAAAUAUUUUUAAAGUUUUAUAAAUAUCUUUGCUUUUUAUGAAUUUAAAUUUUGAGAGUUGUUUCAGGAAUCUGUGAUGCUAAAGCUGUCUCUUUUCCACAAAGAUCCCUGAGCAGGAAUAUUUAAGAACCCAUUUUAUGUCCAGUUUCCUGAGCUGGAGAAGGAUAAAGGUCACAGUACUCAAAAUUACUUUUUCUUUUUAUCUAAUAUUUUAUUUUUUGCUUACUUUCAUUCCUUUAGAAAUAUGUGAGAAGACCAUCCUGGUUUUGAUGAAGUUUAUUCAGUGAAAUUCUUAUUUAUGUUAUAUGCCAAUAACCACUAAGUGCUAGGACAGUUGUGAUAAAUAAGAUCCCAGAGACCUGUGAAGAAGUAGUGGACAAGGAUGGCUGUUGAUCAUGCAUUGUGUUUGAUCUGGUGAUAGAUUCAGUGUGUUACAGCCUUUCUGUUGAGAGGAAUCCAUCUUCAUCUUAAGGUAACUUUCUUUACCAGAUGUUUCGUGAAGGGUAAUGGAUGAAUUCGAGCAACAUUUUAUUGAUAAAAUUUGCAAAACUGGUUAUAGUGAUAUUAUGAGGCAUGAAUCAGGGCAAGGAAUUAAGGAUUCCUUCCUGUGUUCCUGAGAUCCUCAAAUGAACCCAUAUUGUUUCUUGCCUGUACCUAAUUGUAGAAGUAAGUAUCCACAGUGGUGUAAGUGGAAAACUCCAUGUAAUAAACAGUUUCUACUUUCAAUUUAAUAAAUAGGUACACAGGGAAAUGUAGCUUGUAGUAGAAACAGUUAUUUUUAUAAAAUUGCCUAAGAGAUUAGGAGGAGGAACACUAACAUUAUUUAUUAUCAAGGAUGUCUUUGCCCAGCCAUGCUCGCUGAUUUCCCGUAAAUUUGGGACCAUGAAGCACUGGGUUCUGGUGGGUCCUGGCAACUGCCAUUUCUGUGGUUCACUUGCCCUGUCACUCUUCUAGCUCAGUACCUUGGGCCUUGUCCUCCUGUGUCCCCAAAUUGCCUAUCAGUCUUUCUUGAUAUUCUAAGUUGACCUCCUGAUUUACCUGUCAGAAGACACCCUUUUUCCCAGUAGUCUUUUCCCAUGUUCAUAGCUCUUCGUCUGCCUUCCCUGCAUGAGCACAGAUGGCUCUGAGCUCUCUGGUCCCAGGAAGUCCCCUUUGGGCCUUUGUUUGUGCCUUAACCCCCACCUUAGCCUGCCAUUCCUCUGGUUGUCCUUUCUUUUCUCGAUAGCAAGUAUUCUCUCUGCCUGACUGGAUUACUCUGCAGAUACAACCAAAUUCUAAUAUCUUCCAUCCUAAAGGCAAAAUUGUCCUCCCUGCCUGUUACUGUUUGGAUGUGAGGUGUCCCCUAAAAGUUCACGUGUGAGACAGUGCAAGAAGGUUCAAAGGAGAAAUGGUUGGGUUGAGAGAGUCUUAACUGAAUCAGUGAAUUGAGCCCUGAUAGGGAUUGACUGGUAACUGAAGAUGGGUAGGGUGUGGCUGGAGGAGGUGGGCUUUGGGGGUAUGGCUUUGGGGUACAUAUUUGUAUUUGGCAAAUGGAGACCUCUCUCUCUGCAUUCUUAUCAUCAUGUGAGCUGCUUCCUUGUGCUACACUCUUUAGUCAUGUUGUUCUGCCUCACCUUGAACCCUGAGGAAUGGAGCCAGCUGCCUGUAGACUGAGACCUCUGAAACUGUGAGCCCUCAAAUAAACUUUUCCUCCUCUACAAUUGUUGUGGUCAGGCCUUUUCAUCACAGCAGUGAAAAAGCUGACUAAAACACUGGCCUGACCUUCUUGUUCCUUUACUAAAUUAUCUACACUCUUUGUAGCGAGUCUUAUGUUUGUAUUCUAUAAAUCUCCCUAUCUUCCCAUUGUUUCUUGUAACCCUUCAGCUGGAUCUCAUCCUUGCUCUCUUAGCCCUCUUCAAGGGUAUUAGUAAUUUUCAUAUUGCUAACUGUAGUGGUCAGAUCCCAAUCCUCCCUUCGCCGGACCUAUUAGGAACAAUUGUGGUUAGUCACUUUUGCCCGUCUUUAAGCACAUUCUUCAUUUGGCUUCCAAAAGUUUACUUCCUUGUGGUUCUCCUGCUGCCUCACUUUUUCACUGCUAGUUUGUUUCCCUUCUGUUUCUACCUUAUUUAUCUUCUGGCUUUUGGGGGCCUAGGGCUUAUUCCUUGUAUUGCUUCUCCAUGUGUCUUGUCUGUCUAUCUCAUAUUAAUGCAUUUUUACCACUAACAUGUAAGAACUUUAAAAUAGUUAAAAUGUGUAAAAAUCAGAAAGUUUUCAAGACAUGUUAAGUUAUUGUUGCAGGACCUAACAUGGAAUAAGAUGGAGACUAUAAAGAGCAGCAUACAUAAGCAUACACACAAACCUGUUGGGCAGUGCAAUUCAUUUUUCUAAUAUAAGGUGGUAUCAUUCAUAGAGACAACCUUUUCUUGUCAGUUCAAUUACCAGAAGGAAUGUAUUACCUGGCUUUUUCAUUAGUUUGCUCUACUGUUGCAGAAUGCACAAAACUUGUCUUCAGUUGGCUAAUUUUAGAUCUAAGUUCAGGAAACUUCACCUUAGUAUAGAGUUAAAGUUGCAUUCAGAGAAGACUUCCUCUAGGCCUCUAUUCUGAUGUAUCUGUAGGUAGCUUUUUGGUUAUGUGACUUCAUGGCAAAUCUUAGAACGCUGAAAACAGAGUGUUCCUGUGUCCUUUCCCAGUGCUCUGCCCAUAUUCUCUUUCUGCAUUUCAUUUAUCUUGGGCAUAAUUUGUCAAGGUAAUAGCUAAUACUUUUUCUAAGGUUGUUUUUUCUGGCAAUUGGUGGAAUUGCUGAGUUUGUUUGGUGUCUUAAGGAGCUUGAUUUCUUUUAGAAAACUUAAGAACAAGUUCUGAAAGUUGAAGAACUCAUUUUUUUUCUGUACUUUGGGGAAUACCCACCCCAUCCUGUACAUCAGUUGUUUUGUGUUUAUGGAAUUAGGUUUCAAGAGGUGUUGAUCAAUAAUUUUAAUGUGGCUCACCACAUCCAAAUGUAGACUCCCUGCAUCUGCUGAAAUAUCGUAUUUCCCUUUGUACAUUGCCCCAGCUCUUCAGGCAGGACAGAAAAUUGGGCUCACUGACAGUAUGGGUGCCAGUGAGUGGUCUUCAGAAGGAGUGUAUCCUUACUGUGCUGAGUAACAGUUCAGCAAAGACUAUUUCCAGACUCUCCCGUUUUCAGAGAGAGAGAGAGAGAGAGAGAGAGAGAGAGAGAGAUUAAAGAUUAUUUUGAAUCAGUUUUAAAAUUAUAAAAAAAAUGAGAGUCAUACAAAGAGCUACUAUUAUAUUCUUUGUUUGGAGACCCUGUUCAAGAUUCUAUUGUUCCAGUAAUUGCUUUAUGGAAAAAGAACCCAAGAUUAGAUUUUUCUAAUCUCCUUUCACCUGGACCAGUUCUUGAGUCUUUCCUUGACUUUCAUAAAUUUGAUAUUUUGAAGAUUAGAGACUAGUAAUAUUGUAAAAUGUCCCUCAGUUCAGAUUUACUUGAUAUUUCUUCAUUAUUAUACCCAACUUGUGCAUUUUGACAUGAAAAUAUGUGUUUUGUAGGGAAAUAUUCUGAGAUGAUGAAAAAUUCCAUUUCUUUUUUUUUAGAGAGAGAAUUUUUUAAUAUUUAUUUAUUUAUUUUUUAUUUUUCGGUGGAUACAACAUCUUUAUUUUAUUUUUAUGUAGUUCUGAGGAUCGAACCCAGCACCCUGCGCAUGCCAGGCGAGUGUACUACCUCUUGAGCCACGUUCCCAGCCCCCCCAUUUCUUUUCCUACUUUCAUCCACUAGUUUAUCUAUUGGUGUUUCUUAUUUGAAUUAUCACUAUAAUUAUCAAAUGAAGAUUUUGAUAAGUUGGUUUUCCUCACCAUAUUUUCUUCCAUUCCCAAUGUUUUUCCCCUAGAUUAAUAUCUUGCAUUAUUAAUUUUGGCUCAGGGUUUUUAUUCUAUUUAUUGACUUAUAAUCCAUUUCUGUCAUUAUUUACUUUGAUGUUCUAGUUGUCCUAUAUCUGUCUUGAGGGGUUCCCAAAAGCAAGUUCCAUUUGAUGUCUCUCCAUCAAUCUUUGAAUACUUCUUUCUUUUCUGCCAUAAUGAAAAUAUUCAGACGUACCUUGUUCUUUCCUUCCCUCAGCCCUGGAUUUGUUCAGUUCUCAAAAUAAUCCACUUGCCUUCUAGAAGAAAAUGGUAUUUAGAAACAAAAUCUCAAUUAAAUGAAUAUAUGUAUCUAUUGGGUAUCACUAUUUCUAUGGCUUCUACAUAUUUGAAACUAGGAAGUUCACAUAUAUGUACAAGUCACAUAUUGAUAUCUAUUCUUAUUUUUAAAUUUUUUUUAUGUUGACAACCAUGAGAUUACAUUAAUACUACCAAAUCCAGUUCUGACUCAACCUCCAGUGUUGAUUUUAGUUUUUUACCUUGCUGUAUUUGUACCUCCUUUCACUGACAAGGUGAAAUCUGUCUUGCAUUUCACUUAAUGUACAUACUUCUUUGUUCUAAGUACUCUGUAAAUGCCCAUUUCCUGACUCAAUUAGGAUGGCCUCUCUGCUCUGAUAGCCCUUUUUCUUGGGAUAUGAUGCACUUGGAACAAAAUAUAUUGGAAGUACCAGAAAACUGGGGGCCUCACAAUCAAUCAUGCAGGCUGUGCUUGCUGAAGUUCAUGUCUUUCACCAUUACAAAGUCGCCCCACUAGCUAUCUUUUCCUGGCUUCCUUAAAACAACACCUCAAAAACAAAACAAAACAAACCUCUUGUAUUGUCAUUCUCAUCUUCAGCACAAUCACAGGCUUUCAGAUUGCCACCUUUAGUAGGUGGAUACAUGGGUUCACUGGGCUUUUGCUCUCUCCACUCUCCAUAUCCUUAGAUACUGUUGGGGAUGGCAGAAAAUGAAAUAUUAAUUAUCAGGGCAAUUUUUUCUUUCCUGAAAAUUUGCUCAGUGUAUCUUAUCAAUACAUGACUGGGGGACAUUUGAAUUUUAGAAGUUUGGAGAGCCUGAUAGAUCUGCUCUACCUGAAGUCCACAGCUUGGGUUACUCUUGUUCUGCACUACCAAACCAGGCCUGCGUCCUCAGAUAAGUUGUAGGUUGUAUAUUGUGCUUGCUUUAACCAUGACUUCCCAGAAGUUGCCAAGGCCAGAAGUGAUAGGACAGGAGACAGGUAGAAUGCGGCUCUUUCUGCUCUUCAAAGAGCCUUCUCAGAAGUCCUAUAUGUUAGCUUGCAUUGGGCAAGUGCUACUUCCUUGCUCCUACACGGGAGCAGAUGAAUGCCAGUAAGUGUAACUUUUAUAACUGGAGCUCUGUAUCUAACCAGAAGUGAUGUUGUUUUCCCCACAAGGAACGGCAGGUGGGACAUUGGACUGGGCACCACAGUCUCAGCUACAGGGUUUGUUAAAGGAUAUUAAAUGAGCAAUUUGAUCAUUUUCUUAACAAAUAACUACUCUGGAAGCAUCAUGGGUCAUGAUUUUACUGGAAACAAGACUAAUUGAAGAUUGUAAUCAGAUGAGAAGUGGGGAUAGACACUCUGACCUCACCCCAGCCAACUCUUCACUGUUUCCCUACCUGGGCCAUCUCCCUAGGGUGGGCAGCAACAGUUGUGUUUCCCUUUUGGGUUUUGCUUAAUUAUUUUCCCUAUCUUUUUUAUUUAUCUUGUCAUUAUCUCCCAGAGGCUCUGAGAGGUUAAGAACCUUUUUUUAGGGAGCCAUACUCCUGAAGUGGUAAAGAAAUGUUUGAACCCACAUCACUGGGUUGGUAGUAGUCCUGGGCUGUACUUCCCUAAAUUAGAUAAGACAGUUUGUAAAAAGAUAAGGCUAGUGUUGUGUUGAUUUUGACAUUGUCUGUAGUUAAAUGUGAGGGAUUAAAAUAACUUUAGAGAGUAUCUAAGUCAGGAAGAUACUGCCUAUGGUUUUAAUUUGAUUUCAAUUACAAUGGUAUCACUUAGGUUGUAAAAGGGGAAAAAAAAUCCCUAACUGAACAAUUUCAAAUUUUACAGUUGAUGCAGUGAAAUCUGCAUCAACUGAGCCUUCAUUAAUAAAAACUGGUUAGCAGAAGUUGGGUACUGUGGUUUAUGCCUGUAAUUCCAGCUUUUCGGGAGGCUGAGGCACAAGGAUCAUAAGUUUGAGGCCAACUUCAGCCACUUAGCAAAACCUAUCUCAAAAUAAAAUUUAAAGUGUGGGUGUUUGGGGAGGGGGUCAGGAAUAUAGCUCAGAAUUAGAGCACUUGCCUACCUUGUGUGAGACUCUGGGUCUGAUCCCAAGUACAUUAUAGCAAAUAAAUAUGUAAAUAAAUAACCAUUUACCAGAUUUCAUUGGGUUCCUUUUUUGCCCUAUGACUUGUUUUAUACGCACACGUGUGUGUGCACAAUUUUUUUUCUGUGACAUUAUCAUGCAUUUAUAAAGUAAUAUCUUAAAACUCGAUAUCUUUUUAAAAUUGGAAGUGGAAAGGAAAUAUUGCAUUAUAGGAAGAGAGAGCAAGAGAUAGGCUAGGAGGAAGAGAACCAUUCUCUUAAACAUAUAACCUGUGGAAUAGAAGGAACUCCAGGUGACAUAUUACACAUUGAGUUAAGUGUAUUUAAUUUUUAGUAAUACAGUUUACCAUUGUGAAGCCUGCCUGGGGAACCUAAUCUUUUUCAGGUUUCCUGGGAAACUUGUUCCUACUAUAAGGUAAUAUUACCCUAGUAGUAAUGCAUGAUCAUGGAACAUUAAGAUUCUGUUUAUUUGCUGUUCCCUCAAGAUUAUGUGGGCAUUUUAUAAUCAUUCAAUACAUGAGGACACCAAAUUGAACCCCUCCAAGUCAAUUACAUAACAACCAAGCUCAGACUUGGUGCAUAUUCUAACUAUAAGUUAGAGCAGCACAGAUUCAAGGGAACAUAGUGGCCUCUGUUACCACCUGUUCUGGGUUAUGGGGGAUGAGCCCAGCAUGACUGCAGGUGCUGAGGAUGGUUAUCAAUGAGGAAGACCAGGUUCAUGCUUUCUAGAGAGCUUAAAUCCCAUUACUGGGAAAUAGCCAAUAAACAGGAAAGGAACUGAUUGAAGAGUAAUUUCAGUUAAUCAGAUAUGGCAAUGUGAGAUAGUGCUCACUUGUGAAACUAGUUUGAUUGGGUUGACCUCAGUGAGGCACUGACCUGUGAUCAGGAUCUGCAUGAUGCAGAGAUUGUGGAGGUGUUCAGAGAGGAUUAAGAAGACAGACCAUAAGGCAGCCUCCAGCCUGCAGAGUUAUAGGAACAGAUUCUAGACUUGUGUGGUAGGUGCACAGCAAGUUAUCAUAAGGGUGAUGGAAGAGGUGCACUAAGGUGUCCAGGGUCAGCCUGAGGACCUUGCAGUGUGAUCAGAAAGCCUUGAUGAAUUUCAUGAUCCCUAUGGCUAGUUUGUGGGUACUUGACUGGCCAGGUUAUGGAGCUGUUCUGGAUGCAGGUGAUGGGUGACUUGGACCAGAUGGUGCCAGUGAAGACAGAGCAGUGGAAUUUGAGUGCUUGGAGUUGGACUAGGCUCUGGGGGAGUUGCUGAAGACUUGAGAGAAAAAGAAAUGAAGGAUGAAAUCUAGGUUUGUGUCUGAAGCAAUUGAGUGGAUGGCAGUUCUUUUAAUUAAGAGGGAGAUUCUGAGGUAAGAGCAAAUUGUAGGAAUGUAGGCAGGAUAUUGUAUCCUUUUUGAGCCCUUAAUACUGGCAUGUAUUUUAGACAUCUAAGUGGCAAUCACAAAUAAUAGUUUAGCUAUAUAUAUAUAAAUCUUGAGUUUACAUGGGUGAGAAUUUUCAAUUUUCCAAUUUUCAGAAAAUAAUCUUCCUUAGAAUUGAGUCUUGAGGGCUAGGGAUGUGGCUCAAGCGGUAGCACGCCCGCCUGGCAUGCGUGCGACCCGGGUUCGAUCCUCAGCACCACAUACAAAGAUGUUGUGUCCACCAAAAAAUAAAAAAUAAACACUAAAAUUCCCUCUCUCUCUCUCUCUCUCUCUAAAAAAAAAAAAAAAGAAUUGAGUCUUGAAUUCUCUUGAAAAUUUUAGCCUUCACCAAACAUUAUUAUAUAUGCUUUUCUCUCAUUCCUUCAGUGGCAGUUAACUUUUACUUUGUUAGUUGAAUCCCAUUCUGGUGGUUUGCAAAUCUGGAUGAAUACAGGAUUCUUCCAGGGUGAAUAAAAUUAUCACAGCUUAUUUAGAAAAUAUUCUCCAUUUCUGUUUGGUUUCUUUUAAAAAAUUUGUCUCUGUGGGGUUAUUUUGUGAGUAGGCCCUAACUUGUUUGUGUCUAAAACAUGGAAUGAUUUUGGUGUGAAGAAAUCUACAAUCCCCACCCUUACUUUUGUGCUUAUCAGUGCUUCUAAGGACCAGCUGGAACAACUGAGGGUGGAGGUCUUUGAGAAUCUCUGUCAAAGCUUGGCAGUCCAGCCUGCUCUAUAUAUCAACAUUUCUCACCUUGUGGAAAUAACCCCAGUGGAUUAUUUGGAUUGAAACUGCUACUUUCAGAAGAUUGUGCUGUACCUUAUUGGGGGAUAUGUUUCAUAUUAUGAAACAUAUUUACAUUAUGUUUCAUAUUACAAAAAGCAAACAAGCUGCAAUAUACUUGUACCCAAAGCCAUUCAUAUGUGUUUGAUGGCUUCCAAGCUAACAGGAGAGUGGCCUUCCUUCCUUUUUAUUUCUCACAGACCAGCUGCUCAUACCGGUUAUAUGAAUGGAAAUGGUUGUGUUGCUUUAGUUUGACUGUGUAGCUUUUACAUCUACAUUUGGGAAAAGCCAAAAUUGCCUUGUCUACAGUAUGUAUUAUACCAAUGUUGGAGGUAGGUUUAGAAGUACCAUUUGACAACAUUACAUUAGAUAUUUAAAAACUAAUUUCUUGUCAAAACAGAUAUGAAGCUAUGUCCUCACACAUGAUUUUUGUAUAAAUGAUUAGAGAAUUUCCAUUCUGUGACUUAGGACAUCCUGAGUAAAUGUGGAGGGUAACUGUGACAGAAGGCACUGGUGAAGUUUCUCCUAAUUUGUUAUAUUAAGUUGAGAAAGCAUCGUAGACUCCUCCUUAAGAACUUGUUUCUAAAAUUUUGUUCAUUUGAAUCUCUUUGUUUACUGUAAUUCUCACAUUUUUACAUCAUUCUUUCAAUCAUUCUUUGAAUCACUGUUUGAUGUUAUACAUUUUAAAUUGGUUUCUUGCUUAAGAGAGUUUUUAAACGUCUGUCUCAACAUUAUGGUUGCAUAGAACUACAGACCUCAUAUUUUAUAGGCAGCUUCCCUCAUUCUGCCCAAUAUGAGGUCUUUCUUUUCUCACACAAUAGCCUAGGAAAGAGGGGACAUCUGCAGUUUGCUAAUUCCCUGGAUCCUUGUUUUGCACUAUUUGUAUUCUCUUGGCAGUUUGGGAAUCCUUGUACUGUUCACAGUUUUGUUUUGUCCCCCCGCCCCCGCACUUUGAUUUGUCAUAAACACAUGGUUUCUUUCUUUAGUCAGUUUGUCACAUUGGUGAUUGUUUUUAUAUCUAUUGAUUAGGUACCCCUGUUUUUUUCUAAAUUCUCAGGUAUAUUUUUGGUUUUGCCUUCUUGUUACUCAUUUCUUAAAACAAGGUUUCAUCACCUAAUGUCCCAAUAAUAUAUUUUAAGAUAGAAGCUUAAGGAGGAUCUGUUAAAAAUCUCUUUCCACUUGAAACAGUGAAUCUCACAGUUGUAUCAAUGACUGCAGAAACUCAUGGUACUCCCUGUCCUGAGUAGUUUAUAUCACACUGGGUGGGUGUCUGUGCCUGUGCAGCUUUGUCUGAGGACAUUUGUCUGAGGAUUUUUUCCUCUGUGCCAUUCUCCUCUCCCCCGCCCCAUCUACUAUCUGCUUCCAUACACUUUGCCUUAUUUUAUUAAAAUUUUCUUUACUUUAGCUGUUUUAAUUAAAAAGCUAUUGGCAUUGAGUUUUGAUAUAUAAAUUAAGCAUAUCAAUAGUUUCCCCCAUGGUGCACCACAGGUAUAGGAAGUUCUCAGUGGAGCAAAUGCUAAGUGUAAGUUGGGCUGUUUGUCUCAAGAGAUUGCUUGUUUCAAAUACUUUUGUCUCAUUUAAGGUUGUAUUUUCUCUAUGGAUAGUUACAUACUUUUUACAUGUAAUUUCAAACUUUUUCAGCCAUUACUCUUGUUUCUUUUUUUAAAUCUUGAUUAUCCAGAUGCUAUACUUACUUUCAAAUGGUUCAUAAUUUCCAUUUCUUUUGUCAAUUUCACUAUUAUUGAGUACAUUCUCUACAAAGUUUUGAUUGGGAAAGAAUAUAGAAAAAACUAAUUUUUUAAUAGAAAAGCACAAUAAAACGUCUUCUGAAAAGAGCCAGGGUAAUUUUUUGUUUAUUUAAUGUACUCAUACCUUUUUAUAUCGUGCUGAUAAAUGCAACUGAGAGUUAGUUGUAGAUUGGACUUCCUUUAUUAAUACAGUUAAGAGAUAAUUUCAUUGGGACACAUCUGUGUUGUGGGGGAGAACAUUUGCCAUUGUACAUUCUAAAUUAGUAGAAUAGUUACCAUGGGAACGUAGUGUACCAGCUAAGGCUUCCCUAGAGAAAUAGAACUGGAAGGUUAUACAUAUAUUUAUUUACACACAUUCUAUUUCUCUGAAGAUGUAUUACAAGAAAUUGGGCUAUGCCACAUUGGGACUGUGAGGCAGGCUGGAAUCUAAAGGGCAGUUUGGAAGCUCUAAGGCAAAAGCUGCAAUCCACAGGAGGAAUUUCUUCCCCAUGCAGACCUCAAUUCUAUUCUUUUAAAGCUGAUUGAGUUGGGUCCACCCAAAUUGUAGAGGAUAAUCUCCUUCACUUAUAUUGUGGAUAUUAUCACUUUCACAGCAACAACCAGAUUGGUGUUUGGUUAACUGGGGACUAUAGCUUCACCAGCUUGACACAUCACAUGCCUGGAAUCCAUAGAAAAUAUAUUGCCAGUUGUGAAGCAAUAUAGAUACAUACCACCCUGUAAAUAUCUGAAGGGGGGGGGAAGGGGGGAGGGGGAGGGUGUGUGUGUGUGUGUGUGUGUGUUGUGUAGAAAGGGCACAUUUGUUAAUCUUUUAUCAAGGGACUAAGGGACAUAGUAAAAAACUGUGCAAAGAGAGGUAGAAUCAGUAAUAUCAGAGAUAGCAUUACUUUCUUAGAUACCAGGAAUAUUCAAGAGAUAGGAAACACUGAUAAGACUCUACAAGUGAGGAAGUGGACUUGAAGAAGGAAGGGAAGGAUUUCUUUUUUAGGAAAUUAGGAUUGUGUGCAAAUUUAAAAUCUGUUGAAAAAUCAUCAGCACUAGCAUAACAGGAUGGGUAAGGAUCUGAGAUUCUGGAGCACACUUUCAUCUUGGAUCCACGCAUUAGGAAGUUGGAAAUAUGAAGACUUUGUGAAGACAAUUCUUCUUUGGUAGAUUUCUUCACGGGGGUUCACGUCACCUCAGUUUCUGGAUUAGUUUCCUAAUAAUUCCUUUUCUGGUUUUGUUGGUACCAUCCACUUUGGGGAUAGCAGGGUGGGGUUUGUCCUUGACCACUUGUGUGCCUGUUUGAUUUUCACGGGGAUCUAUUGCAGUGUUGUGCCGCAAAUGGCAUCUUUUGGCCAGCAGCUUUCAGGUUGGUUUUCCCCAACUAGAUCUUUCUCCUGAACCCUAGACUCAUCAUUCUAUCUGUUGAUUUACCCUAUGCAUGUGGACAUCUUAAAUUUAACCUGUUCAGGUGGAAUUUCUUGUUCUCUCACCUCUAUCUCAGUGCUCUCUGCUCAGUUCCUAAGGGCUUCUCUUAGACUUUUCUACAUCCAUUGAUUAAAGUGCACCCUUUUAUCUACAGAGAACAUAAACUUCAUAAUCAUCCAAGACCUCUGUCUCUCACAUUUUGCAGAAUUGCAUGAGGUUCCAAGUCCAAUUUGAUUGCUUCUCAUCACUACAACCCUUUCAUGUUUACAUUAUUCCAAAGCCUCCUAAUUGGUCCUCCUGAAUAAUUUCAUCCUUUAGUCAUGCAGUCUCUUCUCACCCUAGCAGGUAGGUUGAUACUGAAAGUCAGAACAGGUCGCUCCUCUAUGCAGAACCAAAUGAAUGAGGCUUGUGUUGUCACUUCUUCGACAUACCUUUCCUAAGAACUGUUCCCCAUGCAUUUUACUCCAGCAUAUAGUAUGCUCCAGCAUGCUCCUUGUGAAGCCUGCUCUUGAAUAUGUACUCUCUGUAGCCAUAUAGUAGUGUGCUGGAGCACAUUCGGACAAGGCCAACCAGUAGUUGAAUAGAAUUCAAGGCCUUUUGGUAGCUUGAAAUUGGCCAGAGUAGGAGCAUUUACACCAUGGAAGUCAGCAAACACUGCAGAUUAGUCCUAUACUCCAUCCCUACUCGAGGUGGGUUGUCAAUUUUUUACCACUGUAUCAGCAUCACAGUGGGUUAUAGCCCUCCAAUACUCUCAGAGAGGCCUGUGCUCUCAUCUGUCCCUCCCCUUUAGAGCACUGAUCAUGUUGUUGAAUUGUAUAAUCUAUGUAUUUUAGUUUUCUGUGUAUUAUUUGUGUUCAACAGGUGCCUGCCACAGUGCUUACUAUAUCAAGGCUCUUAGUGAAUAAAGGAAUUGAAGGGUCUUAAUUGUCACAUCAUUUGAAGUAUUUUGUUGUAUACACUAAAGGAAAAGGAAGAUUUCUUUUUAAGGAAACACCAUUAUUUGAACCAUGUGCAUUAAUUUGGGAAAUUUCAAUGAUGAAAUUUGCUGAAAAUGGAUCAUGUUGGAUACCUGAAUUACAUUUGGAUUCAGGUAUCCAAUAUGAUCCUUAAAAAUAUCAGGCUCUUUAAAAACUGAGUGUUUCAUGUUAUCUCAAAAGUAAGUUUGCACUGCCUUGCUAAAGUUGUAAUACAAAAACUAAAUGUUUUUUUAAUCAAAAGAUUAAUUCUCUGGGUUAUAGUUUGGUAUUACAUGUCUUAGGUGAAAUUCAUUAUUAUUAUUCUUCAUAGCCUAAUCUUUCAUGAUUUAGAGUUCUUUAAUCUUUGUGGUCUUUUCAUUCACCCUUUAAUGAGUUAAUUUUUAGAGAGUUGCUUAGGUUUUUUUUCCUUUUACUUUUUUAAAAUUUUGAUUUGACAACACAAUGUAUUACAAUUCACGAGUUGCUUAGUUUUUUUUUUUUUUUUCAGAGUGUCCUAUGUUGGGCUGUUGCUCUCAGUUCCUUGAUGGUCGUAUUCCUGGCUAAAUUGCCUAUACCCACUAGCAAAUAUGUUAGGAUUAACAGGUGCCUAAUAAAAGUAAUUGGAUUUCAUUCAGUAACCAAUUUUGUUUUUUUAUUGGCAUAUAAAUUUAUAGUUUCUUUGAAACCCCAUUAUAACAUUGUUAUAUAUGCUUUGCAUAAUUGAAAUAAAUUAUUUCAUGUUUAGAUAAAAUUAAAAAUAAAUUAUAAUUUUCAAGAUUUUAAAAUUCUAAUUUAUUAAUGUUUUUUAAAGUUUCUCCUAAUGACCUGUUUUAACAGGGAUAUUGUUCAUACUGAUGAUUUUAGCAGAUUUUCCUUCUGUCUUUAUAUUGUUCCUUGUUAAGUCAUUACAAUAUUUUUUUGAGAACAGUGAUCUAAUUUUGACCCCUAGAGUUUUUCCCUAAUGAUUUUUUUGUUUUUUAAUGUGAUUCAGUUUCAUUUACUUUGAGCUAUUUAGAUAGAUGUUUGCUAUUCUACAUAGAGAUUGUUGUUUUCUUCUUUAUUCGUGCUAUUUAACAUUAGCUUUUAUGAGCUCAAAAGAGGUAAGUAUGCUUCUCAAAUCUACCUGUACAUGUACACAUAUAAUAGCAUCAGUAAAUACCUGGAGAAGAAUUCUAAUUUUCUUAAAAUUGUUUGUGUUUUGUUAGAUCUAGCCUAGAAGAAUAUUUCUAAGUUUUUAAAUAUGUAGAUAGAAGUGUCAAAUUUCAGAAAUUUCUUACAUAAAACGCUUGGGCAAAUCUCCAGGGCAGAUGAACAGAGCUGCUGUCAUCUGGCCCCUUUAACCUCUUCAGCCUUCACUGUUACUACCCUCCUUCUCUCCAUGCCUACUCUAGCCAUGUGGAAUGCCUGCAUCUCCCUCAUUGUGCUGUGCGUCCUCUGUCAUUCUCAUAUGGCAGCCUUCUUUCAUCUUUCAAGAAUCAGCUGUCAAAAGUCUUCCUUGGAGUUCCACAGUUGGAAGAAGUGCCCCUUCACCUGCUUCAAUGCCCCUUUAUAUCAGCUGCUUGCCUGUAUCCCCAUUUUCCCUCCAUGAGGGAAUUGAGUUUCCCUCUGAACACCAGGUUCUGUACAAUACAAGUAAUAUUUUGUUCUCCUUUCAGUUACCUGUGGUUAUACCAUAAAUGUGGAUGAGCACAUAGGAUAGAUGAUUAAAUUAAUUUGAUGGUAUGGUUAGCUGCUCUGUAUCUAUAAUAUUAAUGUAAUAAUAGUUUUUGAAUUAGUAUGUUAAAUUAUUAUUUAUACCUGACAUACUUCAAGUGUGUGUGUGUGUGUGUAUAUAUAUAUAUAUCAUAGUAGCUACUAUUUAUAAGAAAUAUCACAAAUACACUGACUUCUUCAAGAAGAUUUACAGUUUAUUAAAAUGUAAGUAUUUAGAAUUACCCAUACAGAAUCUUACCUUUAGAAUCAUCAAAAUGGCAUUCUCUGUAGGGAGGGGAGUGGUAUAUAAAGAACGGUUUUUCAGGUUCUGAGUGGUGCAACAGGUGGCCAUGAUACAGUUUUGAAAAGGAACCAGUAAGAGACUAUAUCCAAUGUUAAACUCAUCCUUGCUGGUCUGCCCUAAAUAAACUGAAAGAAGAACAGCCCAAGAGACUACAUAGUCAUCCAAGUGAUGAUUGAAAGCAAGUCUGAAGGUGGAAUACCAGGAGGAGGAAGAGCCAAGUGAUCCUGAUUGAUGAUUCCGGAGUCAGGCAUGUGGCUCAGGCCAUCUGUGACCCACAUAAAGAGAACAGGAUGUGCUGCGGCCUUCAGGGUGCCAGGCAUGGAAGGCAACCAGAAGGCAAAAGAGAUCCCAGAGGGAGUGUAAAGAGUUGUUGCUCAAUUUCAGUCAACCUAAAUCUCUUCAUUGUAACUUGAAUUUCUAAUAAUUGAAAGGAAUAUAAGCACUGUGAAAUGAAGGGAUGUUGGAGUCCCACUCUUUUAGUUUAUGCUAUUUUAGGUGUGUAUGUGGGAUCAGCCAGCAUUAUUGGUUAAUUUGCAAGGUCAUGUGCUGAGACAUCUUUUGCUCAAAUCCAGUAAUAAAGCCAUCAUAAGAAGUAGUUUCUACAACUUUUCAUUUUGAAAAACCAAAGUAAAUAAAUGAUUUUCAUGAAAACAUAAUGGAUUGACAUAAUUUUUUUCAUUAUAGUAAGGAUUACUGAUAAGGCAAGUAGAUGAAAUAUUUUUAUUUGAUAUCUUUCGUUUCUUAACAGUUUUUUUUUUGCUGGUAUUCAAAAAAUGCUAGAAAGUUCAAAUUUUUUUGUAUUUAUAAGUCAUUUCAAUAAAAGUAAAUUACAAUAUAGCUAGAAGUUUAAAUGAAUGACAUUUUUUGAAAAUAAUACUAAAAUAUGCACUGGUGUUUUUCAAGGAAAAGAUGGAGAUUAAGCAAAAUAACAUGGAUUAAUUUUCCAAAACAAAUUAUUUUGAGUGAAUAGCCCUUUUACAAGUAUGCUGGGAAAGUAAGUAAUACUAGAGAACAAGUAUAACAAUUGACAAUUGAAGAGAGAGAUAAAAUUAGUGAUUUACUUUUUACUGUUGUUGAACUGCUGAACUGAUUUUUAAAGUUGAUUAUUAAUCUAGGAAGAAAAAGGACACACUUGGAACAAGGUCCCAGAUGGACAGGGGAUAUAUAAGUUUAGCUUCUCAAAAUCUAAGUAAAACAGAUUCUUAGAAUUUCAAAUAAUCAAUAUGGCACUCCUUUAGCAACUUAGGAUGUUUAAGAAAUUAAUGACUUUUGUACAUCACUAGAAAUUAUUUUUGAGAGAUACUAGUGAACCAGAGAAGGAAAAAUGAAUGAUUAAUCUGUGGCUGGGUGUUCCGAUCAGUGGUGAAUGGUGUGUCUAGCAUGAGGGGAGGCCCUAGAUUCAGUCCCAUCACCAAAAUGAUCAUGUUGAUGUCCAUGUUGAGUAUGUUGAGUCUGACUAUCAUAUCAGCUUAGAAAAAUCCAUGACUGCGAUGGUGGAGUAUGGAACUCUGGUCUCCAGUAACCUUAGGCAUAAUACAUCCUAGCAGCUUGAAGUGACACCAGCCUAGAUAUAUUGUUGGGAAGCAUCUGAUCCUAGACACUGGUUAAAAUCUCUUGAUAGAGAAUUGAAGUUUUUCUUUAAAUAGUAAAUGCUUUUAGAGAAGAUAGAAGACAUUUUGCCUCCUAAGGGGUUACAUCAAGAUUUUUGUUUGUAUUUUCAAAUUUUCUAAUAAUUUUCUAUUUUUCUAAUCCUCUCAGGAUGUUCUGCUGAGAGAUAUCUGGGCAUCAUAGAGUCAAUAACCCUUUUCUUUUCUUUUCUUUUCUUUUCUUUUCUUUUCUUUUCUUUUCCCUCCCUCCCUCCCUCCCUCCCUCCCUCCCUUCCUUCCUUCCUUCCUUCCUUAUCUUUUUCUUUUUUUGCAGUAGAGUUUGAAUUACAUUUACACUUUAUUUAUUCCCAUUGAAAAUAUUUCAAAAAUUAACAUAAUAAUCAAAACAGUCUUUCCCCCUGCAGUCAAUAUGCAUAAGCAUUGAACAGCACAGAUUGGACAGGUAUAUACAUGGACAAGACUUAAAAGGAAUCCAAAUUCAGUAUUAUCUCUAAUUAGGUCUCACUUCUCUGCUGUCAGUCUCUCUAGGCGUUAGUCGAGAAAUAUUUGUCUUCUGUCUUUAGUCUAAGACCUCUUCCUCUUCACAAUGCUGGAAUCCUUGAUUUCUUGAUUUCAAUUCAGAAGGCCUUUGCUUAAAUUGGAUAAGGUUCCAGGUUUCUGUGAUAUCUUAUCAAGAAUCAAAACCCCAUUGAUUUUUAUUUUUUAAACUAAAGACUUUUUUACUUAUUUUUUAUUCCUUGUUUUCUUUUUUUAUUAGUUGCUCAAAACAUUACAAUGAUCUUGACAUAUCAUACAUUUGAAUUAAAUGAGGUAUGAAUUCUUAUUUUUCCAUGUGUACACAUAUCUUGACAAACAUUGGGAAGAAACGGCUAAUGGAAAUUCAGGUAGAGCAGUUCCUUGGUAGCCUUGCCUUCUACUUCUAAAGCAGUGUUGUCAUGUGGUUAAUGAAGAAGAAAGUCAACAAUGUGUAGUAUGUGUGGCUACUUUCAGCAAACUCCAGCCUGUGACCAUACUACCUUCUAACCACCUAAUGUAUCUUCCCGUCCGAUGUCUCUUCAUGUAAAGAAGAAAACUUUUUCAUUUAAAAAUAGUGGCGUUAAUUAUAUGAUACUUAUAAAUGAAGUAAAAUGAAAGGAAAACCCCUAUCACCCAAACUUUUAAUAGCUUCUUCCAUUUAGAAUUGCAGCCCUUUUCUUAUUAUAAAUUUGUUUCUAAAAUGUUUUGUUUUAAAAUGCAUAUAUUUUAUAGUAUGGUAAACCUAUAGUCCUCUUCAUAAUCAUAAAUUAUAAUUUACUCAUUUCAGAAGAACCAUGUCUGAAGUACACCAAAUAAAACCAAAUGAAAUAGUGAAUUGCACAUGUGAGAAUGGAGCAGUGGCUUGUCAUGGUACAGGCUGGCUCUGUUUCAAAUACUAAGGAAGUUUUAUUAAUGAUUUGAAAUAUUACCAUGCCCUUAUUUGCAGGUCUUGCUUGAUUGGAACGUUUUGCAGUUCUUUUAAUGAAACUGAAACAAUUAAAUAUUAAAAAAGAUUUAGAAGGUAGGAAAUAAGACCCAAACCAACAUUCUGCUUUGUGUUGGGUGGUUUGGGUGUGCACAUGUGUGCUUGCAAGUUAUUUUCAUGAUGGGAAGAAAUGAUGUGCUUAAUUCCAUUGACAUUGCUAAAACUCAGCUAUUGAAUCAGUGGUUUCAUUGAACAUGAUAGUCAUUGUUUCUGUUGUUUUGGAGAAACUGGAAAAUCAGAAAGCAUAGCAAAGUAAUGAAGUAUAAAUAUAAAAUAUUUCAAAUAUUUCAGUAUGCAAAGCUUCCUCCUCCCAAGUCAUAAAACUGUGAUCAUUGGAAAGAUAUCAACAAGAGGAAUGACAUAAAGCUAAUUGUGUCUGUUUUUUCUAUCUCUCACUUUAACAUCUACAUUGUUUAUUAUUCCCAUUGUGUUGACCCCUUUCCAUUGUGUUAAAUGUAAAGAGAACUCUGAAUUUAACAGAUUCUACAUUUGCUGCCCACAAGCUAUAUCCUCUUAGACAGAUCUCUAAGCCAUGCUGGGACUUUACUUUUGUGAUGUAGCAUGGGUAUUAGAUGGUCUUCAAAGAUUAUUUCACAGUAUAUUCUACUCUGAAAAUUCUGCUUCAUCCUAAAGUGCCAAGCAUGGAUUUAAGUCACAUACCAACUUGAUUGGACUGUUCCAAUACCAUUUCUUGUAUGACUUCUGGCGAUUUACUAUGCCUACUCAUUAUAACAUUCAUGUCAAAAAGGGAGUUAAUAUUUUGCAUUAAUGUUUACAUUAUAGAGGCAUUUUGAGGAGUAAAUGAGACCUCAUCUAUAAAGUUUCUGACAGUGAAGAUACUAAAUGAGGAAGUGUGUGUUUGUACCUUAAGACUCAACUGUAGCAGUGAUCUAAGCAGAACACAGAGGUGCAAUGACUGCUGAGUCCCCACCUUCCCAACUAGCAGUGCAUCUCUUCCUGUGCCUGUUUAGACAGUAGACCAUGCACUCAGGUAGUCUUGAGAAAGUACCAUGGCUGUGCCUGAGAGUCUUGCCCUUUGAACAGCUGUCUUCCUGGAGAUGAGGCUAAAUUCUGCAGCUAUAUAUGCUGGCUCGAAAUCUGUGUGUGAAACUGGCAGACUGGUUGUAUGAAUGGUUAUCUCCAUAUAGUUCAGAUAAGGGAAGUUAACAGUGAAGACAGAUUUUAGUUUAGUUUAGCUUUGUUUUGGGGUACCUGGGUUUGAACUCAGGGGUGCUUACUCACUGAGCUACAUUCCCAGCCCUUUUUUGUAUUUUAUUCAGCAAUAGGGUCUCACUGAGUUGCUUAAGGCCUGGCUUUGAACUCACAAGCCUCCUGCCUCAGCCUCCUGAGCCGGGAUUACAAGCAUGCACCACUAUGCCAAGCAGAUUUUAGUUUUUUGUCUUAGCACAUUUUAUUAAUGAAUAAGUUAAUUUUUUGUUUUAAAGAGGCUAAUCAUUUCCGAAGGAAACCUUUUUAAAAAAUCAAGGAAUACAUCAGAAUUAGAGGAAAAACACAGCACAUUCAUGAACCUAUACCUUAAGUUAUAGAUUGAUAUGUGAAAUGGUAUUUUGUUUUCUUGAUAAUGUCUACUGUGUUGGAAAUUCAAAAAUUUAAACACUACAGAUUUUUAACAUUUUUGCCACUUUUAUUUUACUUAAAAAUACAAAUAUGUUUUAUUUUUGUGAAAACUUGUCAUGAUGAUUUUUUAAAAAUUAUUAAUCACAUGAUGUCACUGUUGAAAUACCAAUUCUCUUUUCAUUAAUUUGUAUUUUCUGACGUUCUUUAGAUGUUUUUAUUUCUGCUUUUUCAGUUCUUCACUCUUAAAAGUGAUAUCCCGAGUAUCACUUUGAUUCAUUUUUCUUUGUUUUCUGGCCAAGUAAUCUACUCUUUGUUCAUUUUUUUCCCCCUAACAUCAUGUACCCAUUCCUCUGUUCUAUACUAGGGUAGAUGUGUCCUGUUAUUGAGUCUAAUGUAGGAACUCAAUGAAAAUUUUGUCUUUUAUUAUGAAGUUUUUUGGUUUGCUUAGAAGAUUAUAGUUCUCUAAAAUAUACACUUUGAAGAGAAAUUUACAUAAAACUCAGUUUAUGUAAAUGAUAUCUUGAUAGGACUGGUUAUUUAAGAAAAAAAAAUUGUUACUGCAGAUUGAAACCAGGGGCAAUUUAUCACUGAGUUAUAUCCCCAAAUCUUUUUAUUUUUAUUUUAUUUUUUUACUUGAAAGAGGGCCUCACCAACUUGUUGAGACUGGCUUUGAUCUUAUAAUCCUCCUGCCUCAAGAGUUGCUGGGAUUUUAGGAGUGCUCCCCUGCACCUGACUCAAAAUAUUUCCUUUUCUUGAAUCAAAUUGUACGGUUGUUCCUAGGAGGUAUUGGUACCUCAGGAAAGUAUGAUCUACAAAUCAUUUCAAUUAUUAGCAUGAGUUCGAGUUUUUCCCAUAGAUAUUUAAAUGAACCACAAGGAUUUAUACAUUUCUUUCCUUUUUAACCAACAGAGUUUGUCUAAUAAUAGAAAUUUUAAUUGUUAAAAAUCAUUUAGUUGUAUUAUUUUCAAAAUUUAGAUUUUGACAAUUUGCAAUAUGUCCUAAAUGGCUACAGGUUUGUAUGUUUUCCUAUGAUGCUUAUUAAAUUGAAGUACUUCAAGCUGUCAUGAGAAUUUAGGUGUAAGACCCACCUGAAUAUGACCCAACACAAGGGCACAGGGCUUGUAUGAAUGUGCUAUGUAGUCAUUGGUCCUGGUGACCAAGAUUAAUGAGACUCAGAUGGGUUUUAAUUAGUGCAGCUGCAGUCAUCAAUUAUCUAGUGAACACAAAUAUUGUUAUAUUUGGGAAAUUCCUGAUUUAUUUUAUUCCACUGGUCAGUAGAUUUAGAUGAAUGAGUUCUCAUCAUAACCAUUCUGAGAAAAAUCGCCAGAGGCCACAGUUUAUUAUUUAGGACACAAUCCGCAAGAGUGAACAAUACAGAACAAAAUGUUCUAGAGUGCUCUUAGCACUUAUUUUGGAAUUUAAAGCUUCUCAAUACUAAAUUUUUGGCUUGCACAGGUUAUCAAAAAUAUUAGGCACCUUGAACCAAAUUCAGAGCAUUUGUCAAGAAGAGGACAUUCGACUAUCCCUGUCCAAAUGAUCCUGUCAGUGUGCAUGCACCUGUAGCAGGUUGCAGCCACAGGCAGUGGUUGCAUUUCAUGCUCGUCUCCUUUCCUCCUCUGAAGGAUAUGUUAACAGAAGAAUAGUCAACUUCCUGCAGUGUCAAAGAAUGGGAAAGCUCAGUACUUUCCAAGCAUGAAAGAAUCUGUACUGACCUCUGUACAUGCAUGCACACCUACACAAAUUCAUACACAAAUGCACACUUACAUAUUUGUUAUGGAUUUAAUUUUUGUGUUUUUAAAAAUUACAGCUUUGAAUUAAAUGGAUAUAAGACAUAUGCAUAGCUUUUGAGCAACAUCAUUUCUGAAUGAUUUUUUUAUCCUUUGUUAUUUAAUUUCUCCCACUCUGUAAUUUCAUGAGAUUACCUGGUGCAGAGUUUCAUAAAUAAUAGUUAAACAUUAACAUCAUUUCUUUUUUUCCCUUUCCUCUUACUAUCAAAUCACUGUUAAAUUCUUAUUUUGGAGAAUAAAGAGAGUAAGUGAACUUGGGCUUACAUUCCUGUUGUAGAUUGUAGAGCAUAACAUACUGGCCAAGAUAGCCAUUCUGAAGAAUGUGCUAUAAAUCUAACCAAGGCCUUAUAACAAAUAGAUUGCAAAUCAUGUUUUCAAUGUCUGUGGCAUGAUAAGCAGCUUAUGUUUGGGAUAUUAUACUAUGUGUGAGAUAUUCUGUUUGUUAUGUAAUAAUUUCAUGGUCACCUUCUCCUUUAAUGGACCAGGCCAAUUAAUUAAUAUCACAAUUUAAUCCAAAUUAUGGUUCCCUAAGGGAAAGGAGAGUACAGCUUGUUUCCAAGUGUGGAUCUUGUUGGUUUGUAUUCAUUCUUGCUGAAGAGCCCCUCAUUCGAUUUCUUAGGAAAGGAAGAAACUUAUUAAAAGUUAUUAAAAGCUACAUGUCUUUUAUACUCUAAAUUAGAAUGUGUUUUAUCAUAUCUGAAUUUCUAGAGAGCUUCCAAUGUUCAUAGUUGUUGUCUCUAUGACAAUUCAUAAACACUGCAAUUUCAGAGCAUAAUUUUAUAGCCCUCAUGUUUUAUUGAGUAAAUCACAAGAAGUUUUGUUUUCCAGUCAAAAGAUUGAGAAGCUUUUGUUCAUUGAAACAAAGUUCUUUUUUUAAUGCAUUAAUUUAUAUGUGAUUAUAUUUUAACACUAGCGGUGAUAUGGUAACUCUGAACUGACUUGUCAGAGUCACCAAAGACAUCUUGAGGUAGUGGCCAGAAUAGGUUUUUUUGUUUGUUUGUAUAAUUAAGCUUUAUGGUAAGGGCAUUUUUGUUUUUAAUUGAACAUAUAUUCUUUUUUUAAAGUGUUAAAGAUUUUCAAUAUUAAACUUUUAGUGUCUUUCAAGGCACACAGUAUGAAACACUUUGCAUCAGAACCAUCUGUAGUUACCUUCACUUUCGCACAGCAUAUUGUCAUCUUGGUUUACUCACCUGUCAUCUUGGUUUACUCCACCCAUCCACCUAAAAUUUAGUGAGAGAACUAUUUCAAGUCUGACACAGCAGCGGGAAGGCCCUUGGCUGUCACAGGGUGCAUAGUUGGGUUAGUGCAAGAUCAGGUGCUAAUGUGAGCAGGGGUGGGACUGGAACAGUUCCUAGAGAAACGGUGAGGUGUUUGCAUUUUAUUUUAUGGGACCAGUGGUGAUCCAGUGUACACAUUUAAAUCAUAGUAGGGCAGAAUUUAUUUAAUGCUUAGUUUCCAGACCUCCUGACAUUACUUGUCACAUAUUUGAUGGUCUGUAAUGUAGGAUAGAUGAGUGAGUCAGCUUGUCCCAGUCUUGCCUAUCCAGUCCUCCACAGGAUCACACUGAGUGCUUUAAGGUUGUGAAUCAUAGCACCUGCCUCAUGGGACACGGGAAGAGGGCAUAGUUUUUUUAUGAAUAAGAGAACCUUGAAGGGUCAAAAGAAUUGGGUUUACUGCUAUCUAGCAGUUUUUGGACAUCAGAGUCCUUAAUUUUUUUUUCUUACUUAUAAAAUGAGUGUGCUGGAUUAUACAGUUUUUAAGAUUACGUGAUAUUCUAAUUUCCCUUGAUUAUGUUAUUUCUUUGAGAAAUGUCUCUGUUAAUUAACAUAUUAUGAGUUACAUAUGUGGAGGUGAAACCAUUUCUUACAAAAUUUGUAUUUAGACAAGAUUGGGCGCGUUUAGGGUGGUAUGGCCGUAGACUGGAAUAUGAUGUCAAGAAAUUUGUAAUGUUUUGAACAACCAACAAUAAAAAAUUAAAAAAAAAAUUUGUAUUUACCUUAACAAAUAUUGAUAAGUUCAAAGGAAACACUAUUUUUUCAUUUCCUUGGUUUUGAAUGUUUAAUAUAAAAUAUUAACUUAUGAAGUCAUGUGCCAUUUCUCAUCUGACAAUGAAAGAUCUGAGCUUUACUUAUUAUGGCAUAGUGAUACAUUAAUUUUCCCAUGAAAAUGUUGAAAAAUAAUCUCUCCCCCUUGACAGUGUUUAUUGAGAUUUUCUUGUUUCCCUCAAUUCACCUUAUUCUUUUUUAUGAUGUGCUAUUUCAUACAGACAAAAGAAUACACACACACACACACACACACACUAUAAAUAUAGCAUCAAGAAUAAUGAGAGAAACAAACUCCCAUGUAAGUCCUCCUGCAGCUUGAGACAUAGUGCCUGACCACUGCCUUUGAGUCCUUGGCAGGCUACUCUCUGCAUCCUUUUUCUUUCCCUGUAGAUGAUCACUAUUCUGAUUUCUGUUAAUCAUGUUGAAUAGACUGUUGAAACUUAGCAUUAGCUGUUUAUAGGUUAGAGAAAUGUUCCUUUCUUCUCAGAUGUUUUUAUUCUCAUUUUAUGUAUUAUUUUCAAUUUCUAAUUUUUAGAAAACCCUAUUUUGUGUUUUUUUUAAUAUCAUAUAUUACCUUAGAAACUUAAGUAAGAAGUAAAUUUAAAUAUGAACUAACAAAUCCACCUAUUAGUAUGUUGUAUUGAGGUGCACUGAUGCAUAAGAAUUAGGGUUCUGUCUUGGAUAUAAAGUAUUCACAGAGCAUUGGAUCUGCAGAUUUUCCUACAAUUCUUUCUUGUUAUAUUCCGUAGGGUAAGGUUCAUUUAUAUAGGAACUUUUAUUCCCAAAGACCAUUAGUAAUUUGAAAAUAUUUAAUUUUAUCAUGCCAAAAUAGAUGUGCUUUGUUGAUACUUAUUGCUAAAGAAGGAAAUUCCAAACCUGACCCACAAUAAUCACCAAAAAAUGACAAUUAGAAUUAAAUACAGUUUAUUACAUAUAACUUGUUAGGUUUUUGCAUUUGCAGUUUUCCAGGAUUACAUGAACCUAUCUUUUUAUUUUCUCACUAGUUGUGUAGGUUUUUUAAAGCAGCAAACGAGUUCUACCAGUUGUCAUCUAGCUUUUCAUAUGCAGGUUCCUGUAAAUUACCUGUUUAUUUGAACCUUAUCUUGUUUCUUUUUUGGGUGACUGAGGAGGGAGGGCAGAAACACAUAGUAACCAGAGGUAGUUGGUAUGACUUUGUGCUCAUGUUGUGCCUCUGUCCCAUUCACUACACCUUGACACACCUCACACUGAAAGGCAUGUGGAAACCGAGUUAUCACUUUGUCAGUGGUUGUGACAACACCUUAACAAGAGUCCUCCCUUUUGUUUAUAGCAAUUAAAUGUCUUGGCAAUUGGAAGUUUUCCCUUUCUUCUCUGAAGAAAAUUGUUUUGUGCUGACUUUUUUUAUUCUAGUGAGGAGAAAGAAAUAAAAGCAACCCUAUUCAUAUUGCAAAUUAUCAUAAAUAUUGGAGAUGCAGAUUUUUCUUAGAUCAUUAGCAUAUCAUGCUGCGAACCACACUAGAAUGUACCAUUAACAAAGCAGCCUUCAUGUAAUUAAUGUAAAUAAUAUGGAACUACCACUUGAGUUACCCAGUCAGCCUUGGCAAAAAGCAUUUGUCACAACGCAUCAUCUAAGGAACUGGGGCCUCAAUUCAAAUUAAACUUCAUGGGUUUGCCCCUUUAUUUUUUCCUCUCAUGCUAUAAAUUUUUGCGAAACGUUUAUGACUAUAAAUUUCUUUGAAACACCUACAUAGGAGAAGAAAGCAAUCCAGUAAGCUUGAAAUUAAAAUUUUAUUAUUUACAAUGCUUCUGCUUGAGAAGACAAUUAGUAUCUUCAUAAAACCAGAAAUGUAGAUCCUGGGAAUGCAGCUGAGGGCGUCUCUCACCAUCCUUGGAAGUGCUUUCUGUCCUCUGUAGCUGCCAGCAAAUCUAAAGUAUGGUUUCUGUCUGCCAUUUGCUACUAUUGCCCUCUGACUCCAAAACACAGAGGAGCAUUGUAAAUUUUUCAUGAAGAGGUUUCAGUCUGUAAAACAGCAAACAGGAAUAAUGUUUUAAAUGCAAUCAUUGUCAAGUUUGAACAAUGUAAUUUAUCAAGAGAGCAGUUUGUACUAUAUAAUAAGUUUCAUAUAUUAAUACAAUUUUUCAUCUGAUGUCAGGCUUCUGAUUUAUGAAUAGCCCAUGAUCUAAGGUGAUCAUUGAAUUAUAAUUCACGUAAUAAGAAGCCAGAACAAGACCCUGGAACUGCUACCCUGAAUUAGCUUACAUGCCACCAAGCCAAUUUACUAAACAACCGUGGGCUAAAUGAUACAGUUUUUCUAAUUCAAAGAAGGUACUCGUUAAUUAGAUAAAGGCUAAAGCUCUCAUUAUUUUUAAAUGAUUUAAGAACGGGUAAAGAUCUUAAAGCUUAUACUGUAGCUCUAAUAGUUCUCUCCUACUGCCUUGUAAUAAGAGUAUAAAGACAGAUGGGCAAGGCUGAUUUAAACCAAUUAUAGCAUUUCAUGUACACCAGUAACUAUGACUAUUCCUCGGUACAUCAGAUGCUAAUAUUCAACAUGUUUCAAAUGGCUAAAACACCAUUGAUUAAUGAUUUCUGAAUAAUUUGUUUCCUUCUGCUGUAGCAGUUCUUGAUUCUCAAUAUUCCUCAGUAUCGUAAGUAUUUUAUAGAUAUUUAAUUUUCUGAUUUAUCAAAGUAAAUAAAAAACAAGUUUCUUUCACUCCCUUCAAUUUAUUGAACUCCUGUUAAUUUCCAGGCACUAGUCUAUGUUAUGGGGAAGCCUGCAACUCAUCAAACAAGUUUCAUUUUAGUUAUUUCAAUUCCUGCAAGAACAACUGCAUAAAAAAAAAUCAUCCAAAUGAUCAUCAGUCGUUAUUAAAAAUAAAUAAUUAGCAUCUUUAAGAAAUGCUCAUUUAAAUACUUCUAAGAAGGUGAAUUUACCCUAUAAUAAUAUCAAAGUUUGGAAUUAUAUAGUAAUUACAAGUUUAUAAAUUCAGUUAUGUUAUUUUGAAAAUUAAUGAACUAUUGAGUAUUCUUGUCCUUUUGUCCAUGUCCAUUUGUGGCUUGAUUAUCUGUCUUCUUAUAGUAUGUUGAUGACAGGUGCAUUUUGUUAUGUCUGCUUGUGGCGUCCUUCUUAUCCUUGCUGUCAUGUUGGUUGUCUGUUUUUUCUUCUCCUUCUCCUUUGCCCACUUUCCUGCUUCAUAGUAAUAGAGAUCAUGGACAAUGUCCACUUUUAACACCUUAUUGUCUGCAAAUUUUUUCCUUGAAUUUCACUUAUUCAUUUCCAUUUUAAUUCUCAGCAUAAACUGCUGAGGGAGCCAUAAAUAUCAUUAGAUUUGUUUUUUUGUUUCUUUGUUCUUUUCUCUUUAGUCCACUUUCAUUCAUUAUUUCCAAUUUUGUUGUUGGAGUAGUCAUCUUCAGAUUCAGCUGAUUUUAUUUAUAGAAAGCAUUUACUUUGUAUAGCAGAAUGGUGUCCUUAAAACUUAUCCCCAAAAAGAGUCUGUGGCCUAUUUUUUCAUUUCAGUUUGAAUUUUUUUAUUUCCAUCCUAAAUGGAUACCUUGUUUGAGAGAAGAGGUACCCUCACUUCCCUUGGGCCCAUAUGAGGACAGCUGCCAUGUACCACAGGGCUGUGGGUACUCUUUGUUACCUUUCCUCUUGUUUUGCCACCUUCCACUUCUGUGGAUUGAUCCCAGAUUUAAAAUUAGUUCUUUGAAAGUUGUUGGGCAUGGGGCUUGCAAAAACGAUAUUGCAAUUAAGUAUGAACUUGUAUAGGAAAUCUGAAAAGGAAAACCAGAUAUAUAAAACAUUUCAAAUCAUUCCACAUAUUUCUUGUGUUGCCUUUAUUUUUUGACUAUUUUUAAAAAAUUCCUUAUGUGAACAACAAGAUAUGUUAUUAAUGGACCCUGAGUAGAUCAAGUUAUUUGUUAGAGUAACUUUUGACCUGUUUAAUAAGUACUCAAGCUGUGUAGUGGAGUUUUUAUUGUGCUCUACAGUGUACAGUUAUGAAGUGUGGUACAUAAUAAAAUAAAAGCAAUAAUGUUGAUAUUUCUGUGGGAUCCAUCAGAGCUGACCUGAAGCAACAUAAUUCAUCUGGUUUGUCUUGAGUAUGAAUGUUUGAAAGUUAUGGCUGAAAUUACUGGGAACAAUGUUGUAUGUCUGACUUCUUACUGUUUACCUUUAUAAGUAACUUCACCCUUUGUGGCUUUCAGAAUUGUCCAGGGACAGUUCAUUCAUAUUGAUUUCAAGAAACAAAUUAAAUAGAUGAAAUACAUUAUACCAUUAGUAAGGCAUUUUCAGCUAAAUGUUAGUGUUUAAUUUGUGUGUAAAGAACAAAUGGGCAAUCUCAGAAGCAGAGAAGGAGAUGGCUGAUUAUUUUUAGUUAUAGACAGGUUUUACAUUGUGUAAUGUUCAAGUCUAUGCUUUGUAAAAUCAUGAUUUAACUUGAGGUGAACUCUUUUUAAGAAAACAGCAUGAUGUUUGAGGAAGAAAAUAUUUUCCCUAGAAAAGUUUAGGAUAGCUGAACACAGCAUUGUUCUAAGAAUGAGCACUGUUAGUAUUUAAGCAGAUUGCCAUUUGAAUCUGCAAGAUACAUUUAUCUGCAAAAAGAUAAAUUACUACUUUGAAACAUAAUAUAUGUGUUUGCUUGUCUUUCUUAUCAGAUUUUACAUACCUUGAAAAUGUACUCUGUGUCCUAUAUAUCUUUGUGUUUCCAGAACACAGCAUAGUACCUGGCCCAGAGUAGAUGUUUAAGAGACGUUAGUUAAAUUAACAAACUAAUAGUGGAGGUACUUGAAUUUGUCCUCUUGCAUUAGCUACCAAAUUAAUACGAAAUCAAAGAAAAUAAGAAGCAAAUGGUUUUCUCAUAUUAUAGUUAAGAUAUUUGGUAAUGCCUUACCAGGACUACUGCUUUUUUAUUUUCUUAUUAAAGGAAAUUUUGUCUUUCUGGAUCAACUGUACCACUUUGAGUGCUUUCAUUUGUGUAAUAAUCACAUGCUUGUAUUUGUUGAGAAUAUUAAUUAUUAAACAACAAAAGUUUCACCUAGGAUAAUUUGUACUGGAGCUUCUACUACACUAUAUAACCUCAUACUGUUAUUGUUGUUAUUAGUGUCAGUAGUAGGGCUGAGACAUCCAAAAAAUUGAGUCAUCCAUUUACAGCAAGCUCAAGAUGUUUAUAUAGAUAUAAUUUACUCAUGAAUAUUGUUUUACUAACAUUUGUCUUGCUGCCAAAGUCAGUUUUAAGUCAUAUUUUCAGAUUCAUUCACAGGCACUGGUGUUUUCGUUUUUUUAAUUUUGUAUUGGAUUUCUUGUUAGGAAUAGAAAAAGAUGUUAAUUAAUGGCAGAUAAUUUUUUAGAUAUUCUUUCAGUUCAUUGGCAUCUUAUUUCUUUGAUGGGAUAUUACAAAAUAUUUAUUAAAACAUAGCAGUUGUAAAAAUAGUAAUAUGUGAAUAAAACAUGCAUGUGUUCAUGCUUUAUGUAUGAUUUCAUAGAUAAAUCCAUUAUUUUAACUGACCAUUAUAUUUCUAAAUUAUUUCAGAGGCAUUUGUUUAAAUAUGGACAAAAGCUAGUGUGCUAAGAUGAUUCAACCUUCAAUAUGUGUCUUAAGAGCAGCCAGCUGUCCCUAUCUGUCAUGUCCACCACUUCUUCUAUGGUCUGGAGUUUGGGGAGUAGAAAACCUGAUUGGACCUCCAGCUAGUACUCUGAUGUUAAUCAGCCUAGUGUGCAAGACAGAAAAGCUGAUAGUCUGAAAUUGCACUUUAAACUAAGACAGACUGUCAGUCUUCAGGAAUGGUGGGAAUGGCCUAUUUAUGUAAUCAGAUCCUAAACCUGGGAGGAAGCUGCCAGGCACAGCCUCAUAGUGUAAGCAGCAGGCAGACUGUGUUUUAUCUGACAGACAGUGUGUAAAUCUGUCCAUGCAAAAUCCAAAUGUUUAGUUUGCUUCUAGUCACUGUAAUAAUCUGCUUAUUUUUGUCUGCUAUAGCAGUGACAUCACUUAGCAGAAUGUGCCUCAGACAGAAGCCCAGAUAAGGCUAUGUUAGUGUCAGUCAUUCAUUCCUUGAUUGGCAAGGAGAUAAAUAAGAGUUUACUCAAGGUUUGCUUUCAGCUAAAGAACACACACAUGUUCUGUACAGGAAUAACUUUAUUUGGCUUGGCUAAUUUACAUUUUGAGAAAAUGGUUAGAUUAUAUCGUAUCUAAUUAUCACUUCUAGCAAUAAAUAGUCUAUCAUGUCGAUAACUAUUGAACUAUUAUAUCCAAAAGCAAUCUUCUUGGAUGUGUUAAGAUGCCUCUAUUUGAUGUACAUUUAUAACAAUUAUUUCACUAACUUUUAUGUUUGUGUUAUAUUCUAUACUCUUUCAUUUUUCAUUUUAUUAUUUUUCAUUUCAUUAUUUGUAACUAUGAAUGAUAGUGCCUUCAUGAACCUGGCUCUUAAAUGAAGAAUCUGUAAAUUAAUUCUUAUUCUUGAGGGUUAAGUUGAAGUUUUUGAUCUGAAUUUAUGACUUUCAAGUUAGAAUUGAAAAUGAUUCCAGUAUUUUCAUAUGUUUAUUUAUUGAGGUAAGAAUACCUUUUCUUGGUGUAAAGAUAUAUAUUUUAUUAGGCAUUAGUUUGAAUAAUGUUUCUUUUGAGACUCAAUAAGCAAAUAACUUUAACAGUUUUCUUUAAAAUUUUUUGAUUAUUUUGGUUAUUUAAAAUCUUGUCAAAGUCUUCAUUUUAAAUUUACAGAUAAUUUCUUUGUUAAAUAUAAAUAAUAAUUCACUAUUGCUUAUUUUAAGCAAAGGAUAACCUCUACUCCUGGGCUGUGUUUUUUUAUAAUUAGUAGCUCCAUGGAACACAUCCUCGAGCUCUGACCAGGGACUGCUAGCUGCAAGUCAGAUAGGUUGAGGGUGGCAUGUGCAGUGGUAUGGACCUCCAGAUGCCAUCCUGCCCUGGUGCAAGUGCCCAGCUGUGUACAGGAGCACCAUGUUUUAACAGCAGUGAUAGGAGAGAAGUAAAAAGUGUAUUAUUUCUGAAAAACUGGCAUUAACCUUAUGAAAUAAAUAUAUAAUUGUAUUUCAUCUAAUUUUUUUGCAAUUGUAAUGUUGUAGUCAUGUUCAUUUUGUCUACCAAGUUCAAGGUAUAUUUAUGUAGCUAUAUAGCACUUUAAAUUAUUUAUUAAGUACAUGAUGUUGGCAUCACAUAGUUGACUUUUAAUUGGUUUUUCGUUUCUGUCAAAGUCAAAUUUCCCAAAUUUCAAGUUAACCCUAAGGUUCGAUAAUUGCCUUAUGAAAUUUUUCUUCUUCGCUCAUUCUCCUCUGUUGCUGUCUCUUACACCACCUUAACCUGGUCAGAUCUGUGUUUACUCCGGUAUAAGUCAGCAUUUGAUAGAGGAAUUGUUAGCUUGAUGAUAAUUAAAAUGUGCUGGUAUUUUUUCGUUUGUUGCUUCCCACUGGAAAUUUUCCUAAAUACCUUUCACUUGGGCUUUUAAUUGAAAUAUUGCUUCUAAGAAACUGUACAUAUUCCUUACUCCUUCAUUGCAUGUUACUUUCAAUAACUUUAGAUAAAGACCUUGUUAUUAGCCUUAUUAUAUAAAAUAUUAGAAACAUUUUAAGGGCUCCAGAGUGGAUCUCUAAAUAGUUCAUAAGAUAGUUUGUAGAAAUGAGAGCAAGCAUCUCUUCUGUCACUUACUUGUUUUAGUUCUUAGCUCUCAAGCAAGUCUUUGUGAGUGUUGUCAAAUAAACUCUAGUGAAGUCUUAUUUUCUGUUUAUAUGUACAUCAUUGGUCUCCUUUUAUUCAUCUGGCUGAUCACAUAGACUUUAUGGUAAAAAGAAAACAAAACCACUUAGUUCUUUAUAUUGCUACUAUAUUUUUACUAAAGAUUUUUCAGACUGAAGUGAAGCAAUAACAACUCUAUGGUUAUGUUUUUUUUUUUUUUCUUUUUCUUUUUCUAUCCCAGUCUCUCCAUUGUAGCUGAGAAUUUUUCAACUCAUUGUUGGAGUACCUAGUAACCAUACGGCAUUCCAGCAGCUAAUAUUGGAUGUUGACUGCUGUAAUUUCUGUAGUCUUCUGCUGCUACUAUUCUAUCACAUUUCCAUACCUGUACUUUCAGUUCUGUAGCAUUAUAAAGCUAUACCUGACAUUAUAGUUUAUUGGGUGAGUCACAGUUGUUGUUGUUGUUGUUGUUGUUUUAUUAUUACUGUCUUGAACAAAUAAAAGGAUAAAGAGAUACUCAAGCUUUUGUCUCCUGAAUGCCGAUCUGUUUGUUCCAGGGAAUCAUUUGGUUAUGUCCGUUGCCUGUGUAUGAACUGUAGACAUAUAGGAACUGAGAUAGAGUAUCUCACCAGUUGUGUGGGUUGGUUGGGUCCCAGCCAGAUGACUUGUUUACUCUUCCUCAGAACCUUCGUUCUUCUGCUGCAGUGGCCUCUGCCCUUUUUGGUAGCAUGUCUUCACAGGUUUAGGAGUUGUGCUAAGCUACUCCUUAUCUUAGUACUGAAUUCAGUCUAAAAGCAAUGGAAGUGAGAACAGUAGGGGGUUUUUAUUGCUGAGUUGUAUUUUGGAGAUAAUUUAUUCCAUCUUGACUGACGUAUGUAGAAAUUUAGACUGACCUGCAUAUGAAUUAAGGCUGAAAGAAUAAUCAAGCCACCAACAUCACACAGCUUUGUGGUGUCGAAGUAGGAAUCAGUUGUACUUCUAUGAUGUGGCUUCAUUCCAGCAGCUUGAUUUUUAGUUUUAAGCAUGUCAUUGGGAAAUUGAUUAUCAGAGCAAUUUCUCAUUAGUAUCAAAAAAUUAAACAUCAAUGCAAAUGUCCUUGAAUUGUCUAGAAUCUUUUGUAGAAUGUACAUAUAUGAGAGUAGAAAAUAAUUAGAAAAUCAGUGGUUGAGAGAUGGCAUUGUGUAAACUGCUGAAUACAGAUAAGUUCACUAUGGUGAGGAUGCUUGUGUAUUGUAGAGUUAAAAUGAAAUAUAAAACAAUGCUAGUGCUAAUGCUAAUGGGAGAGCUGUUCUGGUCUCCAGAGUCUGGUGACACCUUCGUAUUACUGAGCGCUUAGAGCUAUGCCCUUGCAUGCAGAGGAUCCUUGAUUGCAGUGAACAGCACCUGUGAUUUGCUAUUAGCUUUAAGGCUGAAAGACAGCCUUAAAUAAUGGGUCCCUUCUCUGAAACUUGAGUCCUGGCAACAUCCUUUCCUAGUGUACCCUGCACAUUUGGUACACUUACCCAAGACUCUGCUGAGGCAUCUGGCAGGUGUAUAACCCAUAUUCAGUGGUAUCUGACCCUCCUGUAACUUUCACUGCUGUUUCUACUCAGGGCCCAGAGAGUUGUUAUUACCUUAAGUAAAAUACUUUCUUGGACUUUAAUUCAUUUCAGGCUGAAAAUAUUUAAUAAGAAAAUUAGCAAUAUAGAGUUAGGUGGUCUGGUUUUCUUUUUAUCAUAAAGUCCAAACUAGCAGUCUCUUUGAUUUUCUUUUUGAUUCUUGACCAGGCUGUAAUUUAAAGUUCUUUUUCUGUUGUUAUCACAUUUUGAUAUCUUCAGUUAAUGCUUUUAGUUUCCCUAAUUCUUAUGCCUAAUAUAAACACAUUUUCUCACUAGUAUCCUUCCAGUUGAUUUUUAAGCACCUAAUUUCAUUAGAAGGAAAUACAGUAUAAUAUUCCAAAUGCCGCAAGAUGUGUAAUAAAUGAUAUUGUUACUCCAUGUGGUCUUUUGUUUGAGGUGUUGAAGAUUUGAACAAUUAGUGUAAAUAAUCUACAUGUACUGUUUAUAUACAUACUUAUGUAGAUUUAGCCUUUCCCAAUAAUUUAAAAUACAUGAAAGUACAUUAAAACUUUGAAUCAAUUUUGAGAAAAGAAGAAUUCAUAACUGCAGACAUCCAGCUUUUAAAAUAAGCAAUGCUUUUUUGUAUUGAAAGGAAACUAAAUUGAUAAAAUUCUUUGCUGUCCAUUUAAGAUGUCACUUUAUUCCCCCAUUCACAGGUUCUUUAAUGUACCCAUAGGCAUCCUCUGGUUUUCCUUAUGUUUUGUUGCAGGUUACUACCUCUUACCCAUUGCACAGUGGAGGCAUGUGUCAGAAACAGGCUAGAGACUGCCAAUAUUUUAGUAACAAUGAAACCUCAGUUGAAUGACAGUAACUUUAAAACCUAAAAUCUUCCUUUUAUGUUAACCAAUUUUUGCAUUUUCCAGUGAAUUUAUGAUUCAGAAAGGGUCAGAUCAGAUCUCUACCACCUGAUCUUUUCAUGUAUCUAUACAUCAGAAUAUUAUGAUUCAAAGCAUGCUGUGAUCCUAUUAAGCUCUAUAGUGUCUACAUUGAAUUAGUUUACCAAACUACAUCUGAGACUUGGUGAUGCUCUGGUGCACAGAGACCCCCUGGAUAUUUACUCUAGAAAUAAAUGUACCUGCUGCUUGUUGGAGUAAGGCCUUAGAAAGGGUCAGUUUUGUACUGAACUCUGAGAUUACUGGGCAAUACAUCUCAACCCUUCUCGCUAAUCUUACCGUGAGAUCAAAUGGUUCCUUAGAUCAUCCUGACAUGCUGGACGGCCUAAAUGAUAACAAAGUUCAAGACAAUGAAAUGUAUAAGUUGGGAAAAGCUGCUUUUCCUACCUCCAGCAAAUCACACACAAUCAUCAUCACAGAGGCAGUAUAUUCUAAAUCUACCUUAUGUAUUCAAAUUCAUAGAGACUCUAUAUCCAUAAUAGAUACCAGGACCAGUGACAAAUUGCAACAUACAAUAUCUGAUGGUUUCUAAAGUACCUGGGCCUGUGGAAGAGGUUCUGGUAACGGAAAUAUAUUUUGUUUUAAGAGAAAGAACAUGUAUAAUUAUUUUUAGUACACAGCUUAAAACUUGUUUGAUAAAAAUAUUAUUUCAGUCAUUAAAAUUUAAUUAACAGUAUAUUUUAAUCCUGGAUAAAGUCCCAUUUUGGAUAAACAGUGAUUACUUUCCCUUAGCUGAUGUACAAAAAUCCAAGAGCUGACCACGUGACGUCAGCUGAUGGUUCUAAAAGGGUUAUCCUAGUAACAAAUUUAAAUCUCAUUGGUUAUAGAUGUUAUCCAAACACUACUUUAUGAUCAGUCUCUGGCUUAUUAAUUUUCUACAGAAAACUACUACUUUUUAAGUGUCCAAAAGAACCAGGCAAAAUUGCACACGUUUCAUCCCAGCUACUUGGGAGGCAGAGGCAGGAUCUUAAGUUUUAGGCCAGCCUUAGCAACUUGGUGAGAAUCUGUCUUAAAAUAAAUAAAAGGGUCUGUGCUGGGAUUUUGCUCUGUGGUAAAGCACCCCGGGUUCAAUUCCUAGUACUACAGAGGGGGGAAAAAGUCACCAAUAGUUUGUUAUUGGAGAAUUGGAGCUGGCAGGGAUUACUGGUUUUAAGAAACUGUGGCUUCUUACUAUUAUUGUUUUAAUCAGUUGUAAAAUAUAGAAAAUUCUCUUGAUUUAUAUUAGUAAGAUACAAGGAAUUUAUAUAUGAUAUAAAAUGAAGAGGCAUUCUAUUCCUAAGAGUUUCAGAAAUAUUGACCUGAAUACAUACCAGGAAUAAAAGAUCACCUUUAUUUUUUUUAUUGACUGUUUUAUUUUUUUAAAUAUAUGAUAGUGGAAUGCAUUACAAUUCUUAUUACACAUAUAGAGCACAAUUUUUUAUAUCUUUGUUUGUAAAGUAUGUUCACACCAAUUCAUGUCUUCUUUAUACAUGUACUUUGUUGUGUGUUUUUUUGCAUUGCAAUUCUUAUUACACAUAUAUACCACAAUUUUUCAUGUCUCUGUAUAUAAAGUAUGUUGACACCCAAUUCGUGUCUUCAUACAAGUACUUUGGAUAAUGAUGUCCAUCACAUUCCAUCAUCCUUGCUAAUCCCCUGUCUACUCCCCAUCCCUCCCACCCCUCCCACCCCUCUUCCCUAUCUAGAUUCAUCUAAUCCUCCCAUGCUCCCCCUCCCUACCCUACUAUGAGUCAGCCUCCUUAUAUAAGAGAAAAUAUUUGGCAUUUUUUUUUUGUGGGGGGGGGAGGGUUUGCUAACUUCACUUAGCAUUAUCUUCUCUAACACCAUCCAUUUACCUGCAAAUGCCAUGAUUUUAUUCUCUUUUAAUGCUGAGUAAAAUCCCAUUGUGAUAUAUGCCACAUUUUUUUAUCCAUUCGUCCACUGAAGGGCAUCUAGUUGGCUCCACAGUUUAUCUAUUGUGAAUGGUGCUGCUAUAAACAUUGAUGUGGCUGUGUCCCUGUAGUAUGCUGAUUUUAAGUCCUUUGGGUAUAGUCUGAAGAGAGGGACAGAUGGGUCAAAUGGUGUUUUCAUUCCCAAUUUUCCAAAGAAUCCUGUUUUCUAUAUUGGCUGCACCAAUUUGCAGUCCCACCAGCAAUGCAUGACUGUACCUUUUAUCCCAUAUCCUUGUCAACACUUAUUGUUGUUUUUCCUCAUAAUAGCUGCCAUUCUGACUGGCGUGAGAUGAUAUCUUAGAGUAAUUUUGAUUUACAUUUCUCUGAUAGCUAGAGAUGAUGAGCAUUUCUUUUAUAUAUUUGUUGAUUGAGUGUACAUCCUCUUCUGAGAAGUGUCUGUUCAAGUCCUUGGCCCAUUUAUUGAUUGGGAUUAUUUGUUUUUUUGGUGUUUAGCUUUUUGAGUUCUUUAUAUACCCUAGAGAUCAGUACUCUAUCUGAUGUGUGAUGAGUAAAAAUUUGUUCCCAGGAUGUAGGCUCUUUGUUCACCUUAUAAAUUGUUUCUUUUUCUGAGAAGAAAUUUUUUAGUUUGAGUCCAUCCCAUUUAUUGAUUCUUGAUUUUAAUUCUUGUGCUAUAGGAGGAGUUUUAUUAAGGAAAUUGGGGCCUAAUCCCACAUGUUAAAGAUCAGGGCCUACCUUUUCUUCUAUUAGACACAGAGUCUCUGGUUUAAUUCCUAGGUCCUUGAUCCAUUUUGAGUUAAAUUUUGUGCAUGGUGAGAGAUAGGGGUUUAUUCCUCCCAUGCUCCUGUUCCUUAUCCCAUUAUCCCACUAUGAAUCAGCAUCCUUAUAUCAAAGAAAACAUUGGGCAUUUGGUUUUUUGGGAUUGGUUAACUUCACUUAGCAUUAUAGGAGACCCAGAAUAGCUGCAACAAUCCUUAGCAGGAAGAGUAAAGCAGGUGGCAUCACUAUACCAGACCUUAAACUAUACUACAGAGCAAUAGUAAUAAAAACAGCAUGGUAUUGGCACCCAAACAGACUGGUAGACCAACGAUACAGAAUAAAAGACAUAGAGACUAACCCACAAAACGACAAUUAUCUUAUAUUAGACAAAGGUGCCAAAAAUAUGCAUUGGAGAAAAGAUAGCAUCUUCACAAAUGGUGCUGGGAAAAGUGGAAAUCCAUAUUCAACAAAAUGAAAUUAAACUCCUAACUUUAACCAUGCAUAAAACUCAACUCAAAAUACAUCAAGGACCUAGGAAUAAAACCACAGACCCUGAUGUGUGAUGAGUAAAAAUUUGUCUAAUAGAAGAAAAAGUAGGCCCUCAUCUCCAUCAUAUGGGAUUAGGCCCCAACUUCCUUAAUAAGUCUCCUAUGGUGCAAGAAUUAAAAUCAAGAAUCAAUAAAUGGGAUGGAUUCAAACUAAAAAGCUUCUUCUCAGCAAAAGAAACAAUCUGUAAGGUGAAUAGAUAGCCUACAUCUUGGGAGCAAAUCUUUACCCCUCACACAUCAGAUAGAGCACUAAUCUCUAGUGUAUAUAAAGAACUCAAAAAGCUAAACACCAAAAAACAAAUAACCCAAUCAAUAAAUGGGCCAAGGACCUGAACAGACCUUCUCAGAAGAGGAUGUACACUCAAUCAUGAAAAAUGAAAAAAAUGUUCAUCAUCUUUAGCAAUUAGAGAAAUGCAAAUUAAAACCACUCUAAGAUUUCAUCUCACUCCAGUGAGAAUGGCAGCUAUUAUGCAUAAAAUCAAUAAGUGUUGGCAAAAACAACAAUAAGUGUGGGGAAAAAGGCACACUCAUACACUGCUGGUGGGACUGCAAGUUUGCGCAGCCAAUAUGGAAAGCAGUAUGGAGAUUCCUUGGAAAAUUGGGAAUGGAACCACCAUUUGACCCAUCUGUCCCUCUCCUCGAUCUAUACCCAAAGGACUUAAAAACAGCAUACUACAGGGGCACAGCCACAUCAAUGUUCAUAGCAGCACCAUUCACAAUAGAUAAACUGUGGAACCAACCUAGAUGCCCUUUAAUGGAUGAAUGGAUUAAAAAAAAACGUGGCAUAUAUACACAAUUCAGCAAUAAAAGGGAAUAAAAUGACAUUUGUUCAUUUGGUUUUUAUUUGUGCUUUUCUCCUCUCUGUAAGCCUGUUUUGGUUAAAUAUAUCCACAGUUAUAUUUGUUGUUUCAUUUUAAUUCUGUUAUGACCAUGUUAAAUAGUUUCAUCAUUACAAUUACUAAAACAUUUUUUGUUGACCUGCAAAUUAUACAUGUUCUCAGGAUUCUGAAAAAAACAUUUUUGUAGUAUAUCAAGGUAUACACUUAUACCUUGAUGCAAAUCUCUUGUGGUUACUACUAAAACACUGCCUGGAAGAUUGUAUAUUACUUGGCCAAAGUUAAAAGUGAUUUCAUCUUAGCCGGGCACAGUGGCUCAGGAAGCUGAGGCAGGAGGAUCACAAGUUCAAAGCCAACCUCAGCAACAACAAGGUGUUAAGCAACUCACUGAGACCCUGUCUCUAAAUAAAAUACAAAAUAGGGCUGGGGAUGUGACUCAGUGUUUGAGUGCCCCUGAGUUCAAUCCCUUUACCAAAAAAAAAAAAAGUGAGUCUAUCCUAAAUCUCAGAUUGAGACAGUUGUUAAAAUAGGUUUUCUUCUAGGCAUGCACAUAGCUGUGGGUUGUGUGCCUAAGUUCUCUCUGUCUGAUCAUAGAUAAUUGUGAAGAGUAAAGCUACAUGUAUGUAGUUUCUUACAAAAUGAUAAAUAAUUGUAAAGAGCAUGGACUGAGGACAGAUAGUGAAAAACAGAAAGAGAGUGGUUGUUCCUCCUGGCAAUCAAGACCAUUGAACUUGAGAGCUAAAAGUGCAUGACUUUCUGUAUCCUGUGCAUCACACCUGCAUUCCAUCUUAUGAUUGGCUCAUCACUUCCAGGUGCCACAUCUCUAUCUCUAUCCUCACUUUUGAUGCUGAGCUUGUUCUUGCUGUUGUUUGCACUGUAGGAGUCAACUGUGACCUGCCAGACUUAUCUGAAAUCCACCUUGCACAAGAAGACUUUUCCAGUAUUCUGUUUUCACUGAGAUUUUUUUUCUGUACGUAUUUUAAAUCUGUUUUUUUUCUUCCUUCCUUCCUUCCUUCCUUCCUUCCUUCCUUUCUUUUUUGGUGAUGGCAUUGUGUUCUCAUGAUUUCAUAGACAUUAGUGUUGAUCAUUGUGUCAUAGGCUCCUUAUUGGGAGGAAUAGAUUUCUUUAGUUUUUUUAAAGGUUGUCCAUACUAUAGAUCAUUGCUAGAUACACAGUAUAUCCCAAUACAUCGUUUUUAUUGAUUGAUUAUUAUAGAAGUAGCAGAAGUAUAGUAAUUUAGAGAUUGUUAGAAUUCUGUUAUAAAUGUCCAAAGGUUAAAAGCUAGUCAAGGCCUUGGGAUGAAGGUAUAAGCUAUUGGGAUACAUUUUGUUAUUUUAUAUACAUUGGUAAGAGCAGUGAUUUAAAAGAAAUGCUCUUAAUACUUUAUUUAAACAUUAAUAUCAAUCCUGUAUUUGUAACUACUGUUUAACCUUCCUUACAUAAAUCCAGUGUUUUCAUAUCUAACCUGAAGUCAUAAAAUUUAAUUUAGACUAGAGAACUGUAGAAAUUUAAUGCAUGCCUUGUUCUGUAGGACUUGACUUCUAUGGUUAGUUAGAAUUGUUUCUAUUUCCUGGUUCUCCAGCCUGUGACCUGUGAUAUAGUUGCAAAGAGUGGUUUUCAAAAGGGACAGGGAGCCUGUGACUGGAAUGGAUAUCAUAUAUAGUAUAAUUCCUUUCAACUGUUCUCUGCAUUUAGUAUUUUAAAGUCUAUAAGAAACUUGAACUAUUUCAGGGGGAAACAACUUCUUAAAUCCUAAGAAGGGUAUUUAAUCCUAAGAAGGGCCUCGAUAUGCCAGCAGCAUUGGACUUUUGGUUCUUUUACUAUAUGUAGAUCAGUGUAUUUGGAGAGUAGAGGUGGAAGAAUAUGACCCAUCCUUUGAGGCAGGGAUUGGCAAACGAUAGUCCAGAUCAGGCCCACUGCCUGCUUUUGUAAAUAAAGCUUUAUUGGAACACAGCCAUACUAAUUUCUUUACACACUGUCUUCUGUUUCUUCUGUACUACCUUGGCAGAGGUGUGUAGUUGUGUCAAAGACCUCAUGGCUCCAGAACUGACAGUAUUUUUCAUCUGGUUCUUACACAGAGGGUUUCUUACCCCUGAUCUGAGACACUGAUGUGUUGCUGAGUUUUUGUGAUAUAAUGGGGGAGAAAUCCAACUAAUAUUGUGUAGGAUGGUUAUGGUUAGACCAGAGUUUAUGGUCUCUUUGACAAUGAAAAAUUCCAUAGGAAUGAGGUUUUAAAGACAUUCAAAACAUUUAGGACACAGCAGUUGUAGUCCUCCAAUGUCUUUCUGUAGAACUAGUCAUUGUCUUGCUUGUUAUUGGCUUAAGAUGUCUUGACAUUAAUAUUCUACUUAAUGCUCCUCCCAAAAAUUAUUUUGACAAAAACCUUUUCAACCCUUGAACUGAAUUGAAAUGAAAUAGGAAAAUAUAUUUUACAGCUUUUGCAGCCUGUGUGCUGUUAAGAGUUUUAAAAAUGACAGGCUUCAGCAUGGUUAAUUUUUUUUUUUUUUUUUUGUUACUAGUUAAAAGGAUCUAGUCUGUUAAUUAGACUAAUUAUCACCUGUUCAGGGCAAGAAGACCCUGGAGACUCUUAGCUUAAGUGCAAGCUCCCUGGUUUUGUGUGCAGAAGCCCUUGAGGGAACUUCCCACUUCUCCUCUGGAAGCUUCUCUGGAGUCUUCAGGGUUGAAUUUAGGAAAGGAGAUCUUAACUAAUUUUAGGUUUUUAUGGCUUCUUGAUAUAAAUUAUGCUCCUGUUUUUAUGUAAUGUGAAACAGAGACUUUCAAAAUAGUAGCCUAAUUUAAAUAUUCUAGACAUCAAUAUCAUCAUGGAACACUUUUUGAUUUUAUUCAUUGAGGCCUUUAUAUAUACAUUACACAUAUUCUCAAGUAGAUUAUUGAUGGAUGAUGUCACCAACUUUCUUAAUAUAAUUAUUGAUCUUUAGCUAUUUAUGCCUUUUUGAUAAUUCAAUUUAUAGAAAAUGGAAAUUUUUUAUUUUCUAUUUUAAAGUUGCACAUUACAUUUAAGCAUUGUUUAAUACUUUGGAACUACAUAGAAAUAAGAUGAACAGCAUUACUCUGGAAUAAUAUUGAGAUAUCUGUUGUGGUUUUAGUGCCUGUAACAUAUGAAUAGUUCUUUUUUUUUAAAGAGAGAGAGAGAGAGAGAGAGAGAGAGAGAAUUUUAAUAUUUAUUUUUUAGUAUUUUUGUUUGUAUGUGGUGCUGAGGAUCGAACCCGGACCGCAUGCAUGCCAGGCGAGCGUGCUACCGCUUGAGCCACAUCCCCAGCCCGAAUAGUUCUUUAUUUCUAAAAGCAGUAUUGCAUAUUUUUAUUUUUACUUAAAUGUUUCCUGGGCCAGAAACAUGAAAAGCAUCUCAUAAGUGUGAUGCUUAUAGAUACUGAAAUUAUUAUUGUGGACAAAUUUCUCAAACUUCUUCAAUUUUUCUUGGUUAUCCUUUGGGGUACUCAGGUUACUUUUUAAGUAUAAUCUUCUCCUGUGAAUUAAGUGAGCAUUACAGUUGCUCUUUGUGGUUGUCUUUCUGUGCCCUUUCAUGGGCUCCUUUGUUCAAGAAGGAUUCACUCUCAGUUCUAUUUGCAGCUCUGCAGAAACUUGCAUGGCAACCCUAUGUACAAAGACCACAUCAUUUUCUUUCUAUCUCUUAGUAUAUCAUUAUAUAAUUAUUAAAUUAUUAUCAUUCAAAAGGAAGCUUUUAUUCCAAAGAAACUGUGCACUGGUAGUGUUUGAGAAACUUAGAAAUUGUUGAAACAUUCAUUAGGACGUUGGGUUUUCUUGCUAGGAAUUAUAUAAGCCUUCCCUUGCUUUUAUAUUUCUGUAUUGAUUAUUCAUUCACAAAGAGCAGCAAUAUCUGUCAAUUAAAUUUUUUUGAUAUCUGUUUAGUUUUACAGUAAUAAUUUUCAAUGAAUCAACACCGCUGUAUCACAGUUUCAAAAGGGAGUGUGCCUAUAUAAUUUUUUAAAUAUUUUGACAAAUGUUAGCCUACUCUUUUAUGAAAGUUUUAUUUGUGGCACCCUGUCUUGCUUGCUUAUUGGUUUGUUUCUAAUAUAUAUAGGUUUGUGUGAUUUAUUAAUUCAGCAAGACUACCCCCAAGGUGUCAUAUGGAGGAAAUGAGGAAUAUUGUUUAUUUAAUUAAAUACUGGUUUUGAAUUAUGAAAAUUUAAAAAACUGGGUGAUGUUAAUUGUAGUCAUAUUCAUUUCAGAAUCCUUAUUUUUAAAUACAACAAAAAGUUAGAGCUGUAGUUGUCACUGUACUAGUCUGCUCCCUUAACCUCAUGACAGGUGUUAGCUGUGUCCUCCAGUGAUAUAGUAUGUUCUUUUGCAUGUGGGCUUCAUGUUUAUAUAUUUAAUGUUGAUUAUUUUUAAUUAUAUGUGAUAUAAUCUUACUCUUGUUUUUUAAUGCAAUUACAUUUGUAAGAUUUUUUAAAAUUAUAUAUGUGACCUCAUGAUGUGAAAUGAAUUAACUAAUUAUAUAUGUGGCUUUAGUUAAUUCAUUUUCAUAUCAUAAGGGUCUUUCAUUUCAUGAUUAAACUCAUAAUUUGCCUGCUCCUCAUCUUAUGAUUGUUUGAAUGUUAAUUGAGAACAUUUAUUUUUACAUGUCUAUACUUUUGCAAGUAUUUGUCAAUGGAGCCAUGCAAAGUGGUGCACAGCUAUAAUCUUCACUACACAGGAGGCUACAGCAGGAAAACAGCAUGUUCAAGGCUAGCUUGGGCAAUUGAGUGAGACCCUGUCUCUGAAUGUCUCAAAAUCAAAUCAAAGAAAGGACUGGUAAUGUGGCUCAGUGGUAGAGGUCCACAGGAUUAAUCCUUAGUACUCCCACCUCCACAGCACAGUGUUUCUCAGUGGCAUCUAACUUGAAAUAAAUAGAUUAUUAUGGAAUAAAAGACAGAAAUAGAACAUGUUUACUUUAAAAAGUAUAGCAAAAGUGAUUAUAUUUCAGAAUCAUCCUGAAUUGUACUGAUUAGGAAACAACAUAAAAAUAUAUUGAUGAUACUUCUUAUCUUAAUUCUUUUUAAAAAUAAAUUAAGAGCAUUUUUUCAAAAUACUUGUAUCUUUGUAUAUAGUUGGAAUGUAUGCAGAUUUUUCAUUUGAGUUUCUAAUAAAAUGAAUAUCUACCUACUAGAGUUUAAUUUUUAAAAAAUAAUAUUUAAAUACAUAAUUUGAGGGACAAGUAUAAAAAUUCAUUUUUUGAUACUUUUAUAAUAUGGAAAGAUGACAUUAUAAAUGUUAUACCAAUGUAAACAGUAUAAUUUGCCAUUUAGACAUUUAAAAGCAGGCAAAUACUUUAACAGAGACUAAGCCCACAAUAUCUAUAAAGACAGACCUGUUAUUAAUAUAAUCAUAAUUUAGCUCCUUUACUUAUUUUUUGUCCUUUGUCCAUGAUACCUAAUAACACCCAGAUGAGAAUUUCUAGUUUUUGUUAUAUAGCUCACAGUGGGGCUAUUUAGUAUAUUUUCUUCAAAGCUGGAGAUGUGGAUUUAAAUCUUGAGCGUGUUACUUCUACUUUGCAAAAAGAAACUUUCUGAAAAAAGUUCCUUGGCACUUUCCAACCCUUUUGUCCUCUACUGCUGCCCCUGAAUAUAGCAGGCAGAGCACUUAGGGCCACUGUAGGUUGACAGGAGUGCUAAGGGUAGAGAGCCCUCUCAUAACAAAAUACUGGAAAAAUUCUUUGAUUUUAUUUAGGAAUCCCUGUUUAAUUUAGGAAUCCUUAUACAUUUGUACUAAAAGAUUAACUCUAAGUUGACUGCCACAACAAGUUUCCCAUAAGCAAAAAAGGGCUUUAUUUCAAACAUUUUUUCUCAUCAUAGACAUCUCCAUCCCAGGAACUCUAAUGAAAACACCUCUUGGUUGGACUUGCUAAAGAUGUUAUAAAUAACAUUAUACCAUUGAAAUUAUUUUCCCCCAAAUUUCCUGGUCAUUCCUACAUUGCCUUCUGAUUACCCAGGUGUCUGGUGAGAAAUCUGGUAUCAUUUUGAUUUCUUUGGCUUGUGAUUUUGUUUCCUUUUGCAACUUUUCCAAUCUCUUUGUAUCUAGUAAAUAUAUCUCGUGAAGCCCUGGGAAGGGAAGGGGAGGGAACAAGCUGAGCCCUUUUGAUUCAAGAUCUAACAGCACUGCAUGGUGGGUGUAUCUUCAGUAAACAUGAAGCAGAUACAAAGAAUUUAGGAGCCAGAGCAGCUGCCAAUAGCAAGGGAGUCGGUUUCUCUGCUCAGAAAAGACAUUCUGCUGAGCAUGUUUCUCAUGCCUCUGCUGUGCUAUUACGUUUUUUAAAAAUAUGGAUUUAUAGAUGUUUAGAAAUUUAAAAUUUAGUUUCAAAAGCUUGUAGUCCCAAAAGAAAGCAAAUAUAGAAAACAUGGCUGUUGUCUGUGCACGUAGAUCACUGCCGUAGGUGCAGCUCUGCGUUCCUUUUGGUUUGAGAUAGACCACCAUUUGUGAACCAAUAUGAGUGCCAGGGAAGGAGAAAGACCAAAUAUUGGAAAACUGGGAGGCUUGAUGAAUGACUCCUUUUACUGUGAUGUCCACAUUUUGAAUUCGGAUUCUGAAAGCUGUGAGAUUAGAGGAAGAACUCAAACUCUUCAUCACAGUUCAUUUCAUCCAGGUGGUAUGAAAUAAUUCAUACAACUCCACUGAGUACUAGGCCGUUUUCUGGCUUUACUGGUAGGGUGAACCAAAUGUCAUGAUGUUCUUUCAGGUGCUUAUAUUAUUUACCCUCUAAUGCUGUAAUCUCGAAAAGAUUGCCCAUUAGUUACCUUUGUACAUCCUUCAACUGACCUUCUUAAAAAAUUGUCUCCACUAGCUUAGUUUUGCAAAGUAAACAUCUUUUUAUUACAAAUUCAAUUAGGCAAGAAGUUUCUUAUGUAAAAACACCACAGGUGGAUAGAAAAUAUUUUAUGACCUUUAACCUCACACCUUGAGUCACAGGGCUUUGCCAUACCCCUGAUUGGCCGUGUAGGCUGCACUCAGGACUCUGCAGGCAGUGUGGAGUCCCAUUGGGCAGGGCACUCCCAGUGCCUUUCCUCCCAGAUACAAGGCAUUUUCAUGCGUUUCCUAAGAUUGGAAUUUUUCCUGCUGGCUCUACAUUUCCAGUUGUCACCUACCUUUUAAAGUCUAAAUUAAAGGCCACCUCUGGGAAGUCUCUAAUCUCUCCUAUCUCGUUAUUGCCCUUGUUUUAAAUUUAUGAUGGCACGUUACAUUUUUUCCUAGCAUAGAGUUUAUUUUUGUGAAUAGUUUUUCUUUCUUAGUAUCUUGUAAUUUCCUUGAGAGGCAUUUUCCUUGAUUGUUCUGAACUCUCCAGACAGUGUUUUUGCAGUGGCAGAUAGUCAGGUGCUUCUAAAUUCCAUCCAGAGCACACACUUGACACUCCUUUGUUUUAGCUCAUGGUGUCUCCUGGCGACAUUUCUCCAAGCCCCAGGAGAGCCAGAGUCCCUUGGGAGAUGACAGAAUUCCCCACUGAUGUUGAGUGAAGGCAAGUAUUUUAGAAUAUUUGAGGGUCAAAAUUUGUGUAAUUCCAGGAGACAUGCCAUCAAUGAGUAGGUCUUAAUCUUUAUAAAGACAGUUUACAUUGUAAUAUUUCCAGUUCUUUUCAAGCUGUCAGUGGGUGAACUUAUUUAUUUUCAUAAAGCAGAUUGUAAAACAUAUGAGGUUUUCUGAAAGUCCAGUGGUAGUCUUACUUCUUUGUUAUCUGGCUUUUGUUGUUUUAUGACAGGCACUGAGCUUUAGUUUAACAUUUUUAUUACAUAUGAAUAAUAGAGUACAUAUAUUGAGGUUUCAUACAGGUAAUUUUGUUAAAUGUACAUCAUGGUAGAUUUUAAAAUGAGGGAUUUAUUUUGUCAUUCAUGAAGUUGUAAUACAGUCUGGAGAAACUAUUUGUUAAAAGAUAGCAUCUAUUUAACCUCCUUAUUUAUUUCUUAUAGGAGAAGGUUAGAUCCACAAUAAAUACAUGAAGAAAUAAGUAGAUAGGGGAAUUUAUCUUGGAAAUAAGAUCCCUGUCAUGGUUUUGAAAUGUUAAAUGCAUGAAGACCUGUCAAAGAGAUAUACAGACAUGAUUUUUUUUUCAGUGAAUUUCAAAGUAUUUAGUUAUAUUUGUCAUUCUCUAGUACCAGUAAGCAAUGAUCAAAUGAUAUAGUAAUUUUGAAAUCAGACUGCAUUAAUGGAUGUAAAUAUAGUGUUUCUUCACGUACAUUGUAGAGAUAAAUAAAUUAGCAAUUUACUAUUAAUGAAGCACUUAUGAUAUGUUAUGGCAUUUCUAAAAUAUUUAGCAAUGCUUCUAUUCCAUUUAAGAUUUAACUUUAUAAAUAUACACAAUGAGAGAUUUUUAUAAAAGGCAAUUUAUAAUUUGGUUCAUAAUAGUAAGCCUGAAUGUUUUAUUUGUUAAAGUAAUUCACAUAUACCCCAAAAUGGAAAAGUUUUCUAUUUGGAGCUGGGAUUGUUAAUCUGCCCUAAUGAGGCUAAAGAAAUCUGUAAAGUCAUGAUUAAAGCCUUUAUGGAAGUUUAUUCUCUUUAUAGAGCUCUUCGUUCAUAACUUAAGACAAGAGUGCUAUGAUCUUUACAUUUUUAAUUGUACUAACUGGAUAAAAGUGCAGUUUACUUGAAUGUGGUUGAUGUCAACUGCCAUGACAUGAUGCCUAUCAACUUAUUAAAAUGUUUUACUUUUGAUUAUUGAAUUUUAAUUUGCUUUUAUUUGAUUGUUAAUCAUCCCAAAUUAAUUUACUAGACUCAUUGUCAGAGGGAUUGUUUUAAACCCAGUAGUAUUAAAUGUAAAAAGUAAUUUUUAGUGAUGACCUUAUAAAUGUAGGUUUUUGCAAAGAGAUGAUAAGAUCAACCAGGGAAUAUAUUAAAGGUUCACAUUUCCUUUAUUAUUAAGAGUCUUAAAAGCUUAAACUGAACUUGGAACCUGAAAUAUUUUAUUAUGUAAAUACUUAUUGAUUAUUUUCAGCCACCCUCCCCUACCAUAUAGGAAAUAACUUGCAAUUUCUUUCAGUCAGAGACUCUUUUUAUAACAAUCUACAGUUCAGAUGUUUUUGCCUUUAUCAAAGGAGCUUUUUUUUGGGUACCAGUGUGAUAACCCAGAGGCCCCCUCAGUCAGGGAGUCAUAGGGACUCCCUUUUCUCCCUGGGAGCUUUGUGGUGUGGGCUGCUGGGUGUCUGAGGCGAGGCACAGUUGCAGCAGCACCAGCCACCCGCCUGGCAGGCAGCAGGGCUUGUCUGAGUGGUGGAGUAUGGAUAGCAUUUCAUUUAGCCUUUGCUCUGACAGCCUAUGCCCUGGAUAAGUGGUGUAGGCCUGUACAGGUGAAAUCUAUUCUCACUUUUGCCUCAGGGGUGACUGGACUGUAACAGAAUUUUUCAAACCCGUUGGGCCCAACCGCAAAGCAGAGAAUAAAUGGCUGAAGUGCCAGGCCUCGACAGAAAAAUCAAUGCCUGGUUAUACAGACAUGACAGACCAGGCCUGCAGUUCUCCUCACAGAGGCUGUGUGCACGCCACACUCCAGGGUUACCCAGGGUCCAUCUGGGGCCUUUGAUGUUCCUGUGCAGGCAGUAUUUACAUUGUUUUCUCUCUCUUUCAUGCAGGAAAUUUACAUGUCACUUAUGUGAUAGAAGUUUCACAGAGAAGUGGGCCCUGAACAACCACAUGAAACUCCACACGGGAGAAAAGCCAUUUAAGUGUACCUGGCCCACAUGCCAUUAUUCAUUCCUCACAGCCUCUGCGAUGAAAGACCACUACAGGACACACACAGGUGUGCCACGCCCCUUCUAUCCCAUUGGCUGAGCAGGAGGGAACUGUCCUAGUCAUAGAAUGUGUUUAAGAUGUAGUAAUUGCAUAUGAAAAUGUAUGAUAUCAUUU
rnacentral:lncRNA from 1 species